rnacentral:lncRNA from 1 species
AAUGAUGAAGGUGAGCAUGCCCCCCAUCUGUCUUCCAGAAUUUUUUUCUUCUUGUUUCCCGUAACUGAUGUUUGCAUGUUAAUCCAAAUGUGCAUGUUAUUCGGACAGAGAUAUAACAUGGUUUCCUCUGUUCCGCGAGGGGCUCGGCUUGUCACCGUGGGGAUGGGUAUUGGGUAGCGUGUGAUGAUUAGCCCGUCCUGAUCUAAGAGAAUUUUUUGAGUCCAGCAAUCCCUAUCCAUCUUUACCUAUUCCACUAUCUAUUUCAUGUGGGAUUUAUGCAUUGCCUUCAGUACUUGUAGACCAUAAUCAGUUAAAAACCACCAAGUACAGAGAAUGAUACUCGAGUUUUCUCUUGGGUUGAAUUCAAGUGGUCUGGUUUCUUAGCCAAGCCCAAAAUUAGAACAAGAAAGGCCCUGACUUAAGUCAUCCAUUGUUAAUGCUGGCGGAAGUUUUCGCCAUACAUGAAUGGUACUAGGUGGCUUGCACUCUUGUUGAUUGCAAUUAUCUCAUCCGCAUCGCGUGCCCAGCUGAGGUGUUUCUCUUUUUAUUUAUAACAGCGGCCCACGUCUCCAGCGCGGACUCGUGAUCAUCCCAGAUAAAGCCCUUUGAAUGAUGAGCAGCAAAUGAGACAAUACAGUCAGCAGUACAGUUUGCUUUUCGGUAAAUAUAUGUGGCCAGAUAGAAGUCGUCCGCGAAUGUCGUGAAAUAGCAGCCACCCUUCAGUCACACAUAUAAAGGGCACUUUAGUGGGAAAGGUGUACUUGUCCGCCCAUUUCUAGACACGUGGUGCAAGGUGCAACACUACUAGAUGGAGAACAACACGAGAAAGGGUCAGGUUCUGGGACCGUCUGGCCUUAGAACGGUGACGUGCUAACCAACGGAACCUUUAGAUAAUGUCCUCAACUGCCAAUUUAUUUCCCAACAAAAGAAGCAUCGCCAUAAUUUGCUGUCUCAACCACCCCGAGCACAUCCCAUGCGUAACUAGAUCAUCCUUCCUCAAGGUAACCGGAACCUGUGGCUGGGACCGACUUAGAUAAUGGCAGCCAAACUCAGCAUGGUAAUGGAAGAACGGAGAAGACCUGUUUCUCUCAUCUUAGAACCGCAGGAGCUCGUUGAUUGAAGACAAGAAAAAUAAUAGUGAGAUGAAAAGAGAUCCCAUGAAAUCCACACGCACAGACAAAGAGUAAGAUGCAAAGCACUGAAGCACGGGCUCUCUACCACAACAUAGGAAGGAAUAAAAACAGAGAGAGAAAUGUCCAGGCAAUGGAAUCCGAUGACAUGGCCAUGUCCCCUCUCAGCCUAUCGUUAUCCUUUGUGCCAUCAUUAGCUUUUCCACAUAACAUGUGAGGCAUGCCAUAUAACAGCCCACAGUCUCCAANNNNNNNNNNNNNNNNNNNNNNNNNNNNNNNNNNNNNNNNNNNNNNNNNNNNNNNNNNNNNNNNNNNNNNNNNNNNNNNNAGUUUAACUAUAUAAUUGUCACUUUAGUGUAGUCAUCAGAGGUUGGUAAAUUGUGUUGGCAUAACUCCUUCUUGAACCAUUGAGCUACCAAAUUGUCAGGGAAGGAUGCUGGCAUUGGUAGGCCAUCCAAAACUGAUAAGGCUAUCACAAAGCUGAACUUUUAGAGGGUAUUUGUUGGAGGGACAAUUGCAUGGGAUAAGCAUAGAGAUAAGAGGCAGUUAUUGUAUAUUGAGCUUCCUUCCUGAUAGGUUCGAUUUAUACCGCAAAGAUCGAAUUGCCUUUUCAUCUUUUUGAGUGUUUAUAAAGUGGAUAAAUGCCAAAUGGUAAUAAAAAAAACUAGGAGCAAGCCGAUUCCACAAUAUAAAUCUAGUUCAUUAUUUGAUGAAUAAAAUUAUAACAUGUGGGCCCACUUAUACCUCCACAUGGUUUAAGCUCAUUCUUUGGACCUUUUUGGUGUUUGGUAGGGACAUUCCGCCCGUUUAAAUGAUAUCCCUCACUUAUUUAGUUAUUUCAUAACCAAAAAUCCUCUCAGACUUACAUGUGAUGAGGUUGAUUGUUCUACUUCAGAUAACUUCCAAAUUGUUCAUCGAUGAUGCUUGCCGGCUCCUCAUGAAACUUUUGCUUAUGCGGUGUCAUUGCCCAUGGAGGUGGUCUCUCGACUCUCGUUACUAAUGUGGAUUAUUAGUUGCUAAGUUGAUUUCACGAUCAAGUUCUAUCUAUUUUUGUUGACAUCAUCACUUGCAUCGGUAAAGAUAACAUAUAAGUACACUAGAAACCAGCCAUCAUCUUCUAAGACUUCAAGCUAUAUGGAAGGAUGGUAGGUUGUAUGAUGCAUCCAAUAACAUGUAGAAUCCUUGAUUAUAAUUAUGAAUGCACUACUUUGAGGGAGACUCAGUUUUAUUUAUUUAUUUAUUUGUGCUGGAGAAGGUUCUCGGUUUGAAACUUGAAUUUUGUCCAAAAUUCCGACCGGAUUGUCGUAGUGGUCCCUCCAGCUCGAGGUAUUUUGUUUUGCCUAGGAUGGAUGCAUAGGCUUGAAUAGAAUUGCAUGCCAUGGCUGCAUGCGGUGAUGGAUAACAUGACAUCAUCAUGAUCAAGUGUGCACCAGUGGAUGGCCUUUAGCUCCCCUGUACAAGCGCGACCCGAUCUGGAGGAUCUUCCGCGAUGCGGAACGGGCUCGUUAGCUUCCGGCUUUUGAUUUCGUCCGGUGGGGACGGCCACAUCGGACGAAUCCCGCCCCAGCUGGGCCCCUCACCGGGCGCUGCCCACCGCCAUUUGCUCCAGGUCAGCACCCCCGGCUCGGACCGACGGACCGACCCUAAUAUCUCUCUCUCCCCGGAUUUCUUUCGCAGUUUCCCAUGCCAUGGCGUCCCUUUCAGCGCAAGCCACCCCCACCCCGCCGCCGUAGCACUUAGAACCCCUUCCCACCAAGACUCUUCUCCCAAUCUUUUUCUUUCUCCGCUCCUAUCUUCUUCUUGAUCUCGAAACGAGGUCGGAGCUCCUCGGAUCACCGGCGGGUUCGGGCCACCUUCUUGCUCUCCUCCCCUCGCGGAAGCCUGCACUUUGACCGAGCAAGAAGGUAUUCAAAUGUUGUUUUUCCUCUCUUGAUUUGUUUCAAGAACUGGAGAUUUUUGUGUUCUUGAACCCAUUUCCUGAGGAUUCUCGUCUCUUUUUCUAUUGAAACCCUUGUUUGUUUUCGUCCUCUCGUCUCUGUGAUUCUUGGAUUUCUGAUUAGUUUGCGCUUUCAUUUUCUUUUUUAUUUUUGAUCGACGGAUGCAUAUGCCUCGGUGGCGAGCUAGGGUUCUAAUCAGUGCGCUGUUUUUUUGAACAAUAGGGCAUCUUGAGCGUCUGAGGCGGUUCUUUCUUUGAAACCCUUGCCUCUAUUGGUGGAAUCUUUAGGUUUGGAAGGUGGGUCGAAGAUUUAGCUGUUUAAUGGAUGCGGUGUAUCUGUUAAGUCUAGGAGAUAGUGAUUUCCAGGGCAUGGGUUCGUCUGAGUAGGUUCUUUCUCCAAUCUUGUCUUGACAUUAGACUCGGUUCUUCUCUUGUGUGAUCUGGUUCACAGGUGCGAGUAGUUAGACAAGAGGUGUGGUGUUCUUGAAGGCAACAGAAUGUGUGCCUUCUCUUCUUGGAUAAAGAAGCGUUUUCUGCUGCUCUGCACCAUUGUUGGUCAUUUUGAGUCUGGUUGAUGGGAAGUGUCGAUCAAGUAAGCCCCAAUGGGGCUGGGAACAAAGCGAUGCCGGAACUAAACUAUCACAUCCGGGAUGAACACAAUGAAGUUAUUGAUGGCAUCAUGAGGGAGGGCCAGGGGCUCUCAGGAGGGGAUGAGUCGAGGAUUAAUGAGGCAGCACAAGAUUUGAACAAUGACCAAGAAGGUUAUGGGGCAGUCCCAGUGGCACAUCAGUCCGGUCCACGUAAACAGCAGCAGUCACCAGGGCCAAUCAUUCGUUGGGAGAGGUUUCUUCCUGUCAGAUCACUGAAGGUCCUGCUCGUGGAGAAUGACGAUUCAACCCGCCAAGUUGUCAGUGCCUUGCUCCGUAACUGUAAUUAUGAAGGUAAAUAGCUUAACUUUUAUUGUCACUAUAUAGAUCUGUGUAGGAUUUUAUUUUCCUUUCAAAGGAUGCAUUUGCUUAAAUGCUAGGACCUUCUUCUGAAGCAUUAACUGUUGUUCUGCUUAUGCUACAUGUUAUGUUCUCUAUUUCAAAAGGACUAACUGUUGUUAGGUGCUCUAUAUCUUUUCUUUCGUUUAGCUGCGAAUAAGAUGUCAUGUUUCUAAUUUUGUGCUGUUUCUUUAUAUGUCGUUGUUAAUUUGUGUUAUUUUUGCAUAUACUUACAAACUCUUAGGAGAAAUCUUUGGUUUGAAGACCUGAAAUGGCCUUUAAAGUAGCCUUAGUGAAGGAAGAUUAGCUAGAGUUGCACAUAACAACUGAGGUAAUUGGUUGUUUUAUUGCUUGCCAUGUACUAUUGAUGAUCAUAUAUAUAUUAUUGCUAGUCAAAUACACUACUAUAUCUGAAAAAACAGGACUCCUGAUAUUUAACAUAUAUUUUUAGGAAUUACUAUAUCACGUACAUGUGUAUUUUUAACAUCCUUUUCCUUUUAUUAUCUUCAUCUAUUCUACUGUAUAUAUAGGGUGUUUCAGAGAAAAGUUGACCAAAUUCUGUAAUUAGUGGGUAAAAAGAGGAAUCAAAUGAUACUUGAUUAAAUAUUCCACUGCCAGCAAAUAUCACUCUUGUUGUGAAUAAAUACUCAUUAAUGAAAGGCUUGUGCAGCAUUGGACAAACAAGAGCUGGAAAUAAGUAUAUGGAAUGAGAUGUAUAAAAGCUGGCUUGCAGAAUGUACUAGGGAACAUUAACCUUAAGCUUGCUUGAAUUCUUGUAAACUUGUUAUAAAAUUUGCUCCAUCUCCGGAAAUAUAGAGUCCAUAUCUGAGUGCCUUCAUCCUUGUCUGUUUAAAGUGUUCAGCCUAACAUUUUCUAGGUUUUCAGUUUGUCACCUUCCUUUUCUCCCAAUCUUAUCUGAGAAUUCAUGAACGCAUGGUCUUCUCUCUUAUCUUUUAGGACCUACUGUGCUUGUAGCAAACUUUGGUUUUGCAGAUGACCCUUUCUUUUUUGGGGUCCUUUUGUUAUUAUAACCUUGUCUCUAUUUUUACCCAGCGCUAAGUGAUUGUCUUUUUUCUUAUUGAAUAGGAACCAAUAUGUCUAUUGUAAAUUUUGACUUCAAGGAUGACUGCUAUUCCUUUUAUGCAGCCUGUUUUUAUUAUAUUUCUGUUUCUAUGUUCGCUCAACACUUGUCCUUACUCUCUUUAGCACCUUAUUUUGCUAGUUUCAUUAUCAUAAAAUUUUGUGCGUCCCUGUUAAAUUAAGUGCAAUCAGAUAUCAUGUUAAUUUACUUUCUUCAAUUCGUUGACUUGAUUAAACAAGCUUCUUGAUUAUAAUAGUGUAAUCAACUCAAUUUAAUGCCUCAUUAUGAUGGUUGACAGUCAUUAUUGAUGAUAAUUGCAUGAAUGAAUCUCCAAGCAUUAGCUCUCUGGUCUUACCAUUCUGCUUAUAAAAGUAGGGACCUAGGUUUUGAGUUUUGAGAAGUGUUUCCUGAUGAUCUUGCCCCAAGAAAUAUAUAGUAUGGGGGUUACACCCCUAGUAAUUAUCUAAUGGGUGGGACUCCGUUGGUGGGGCUCCCUCGUAUUCUCAGAAGAAAAAUUGGGGGUCCUAAGAUAUAAUCGCUGCAUGCAUGCUUCAAGAAACACAUUCAAACAACUAAAUCAUUAUCAUAUGUUUUAUCAGUUCCAUUGAUACAUGAUCUUCAAUAAUAUGCAUUUCAAGAGUUUCGAGUUGUAGGAAAUUUGGACCAUAAUUAUUAUCUACAAUAAAAAAAAAUCUUAUGUAGAUUUCUUGCAUUGUGUCUUCUAUGCAUCUGCAUUCAGUCAUGACUGUUCUCCAUCCUUUGGCAGUUACUGCUUCUGCAAAUGGCCUUCAAGCAUGGAAAAUCUUGGAGGAUCUUACAAAUCAUAUUGACCUUGUCUUGACUGAGGUACUCAUGCCUUGUUUAUCUGGCAUUGGUCUUCUAAGCAAGAUCAUGAGCCACAAAACUUGCAAGAAUAUUCCUGUUAUUAGUGAGUAUUCUUCCAACAACACUUGUCUACAUCAGAUUUUAAUAUAUCUUUCUUUGAAAUUAGAAUAUGAGAUUUUAAAUUAUGGUUCUUUCAAAAUAUUUAACUUUGAUACUUUUAACUGCUACACCUGAUGAGCUUUGCGUGCAGUGAUGUCAUCAAAUGAUUCCAUGGGUACAGUCUUUAAAUGUUUGUCAAAAGGUGCAGUUGACUUUUUAGUGAAGCCUAUUCGCAAGAAUGAGCUAAAAAACCUUUGGCAGCAUGUCUGGAGGAGAUGUCAAAGCGUAAGUUUCUAUCAUACAGAUAUGUUCAGUGUCUUCUAUGCCAUUGCAUAGGCUAAGCCAACUCAUGUUUCUUAGUAGUGUCUUCAGGUAACAUUAUUGAUUAAAUCAUGAUAUUGUCAAAUUUUUCAUCCAUCAAUCUCUCCGCUAUUGGUUUUCUUUUUUUAAUUGUUUUAUCUUUUUGUUUUUGAUUAUAGAAGCUAGAUUUAUUUUCCUCCUCUAAUUGCAUGGCUUUAUUGCUAUAUCUCAGUCUAGUGGCAGUGGCAGUGGCAGUGAAAGUGGCACCCAAACCCAAAAAUCUGCUAGGUCAAAGAGUGCUGAUGACUCUGACAAUAAUAGUGGCAGCAAUGAUGAUGACGACGAUAGGAGCAUUGGCUUGAAUAUUAGAGAGGGAAGUGAUAAUGGUAGCGGAACUCAGGUAAACCACUCACCGUUCCUCUUUCCCUUUAUUUAUUGGUCAUGUUUCUCAUUUUAAGUUUCUGUAAGGAUAACUAUUAUUUAUAAUCUCCAAUCUAAUCAAGGUCAGCAUUGUUGGACUUGUCCCUUAUCUAUAGCUUCAGUAUAUCAAGAAAAGACUUUAUUUACUAAUUUUUUGUUUCAUUGCUUUCUAUACAUUUCUCAAAUUCGCUUAUAGUUUUAAACAAUGUGCGCCAUCUCGGUACCAGACUGUACCAAUGCCAUACUAGCACUGUGUCGGUACGGUAUGAUACGGAAUCUUUGCGGCAUACCGAGUGUCGAUAUGCCAUCCGCAUCGGAUACCGGUACCGAAAAAUGGUAUGUACGGUUUGUCUUGUACCGCCAUGUUUGGGCCAGUACGGCGAACCAUAGUUUUAAAUAUGUUCUCAUUAUUUUCUUUUACUUUGAUGCCAAAUCAUCUUUGAAACUACUUCUCCAUUGUGUUGUUCUAAUAUGAUAUAUGAAGUUUCUCUCAAAGUCCACAUUUUCAAACACUGCUUGCUUCAAUGCUCCUUUUACAUUUGUCAUAUGUCAAAUGACUUAGUAGACUUGAUAGGAUCCUAACUUUUAGUAUUACCACCAUAAUGUAAACUAAGGUUAAAAAAAUGGCUCUUGAUAUAUCAUUCGCAAAUUAAUUGAUCAAGACCAUCAGAAUAUCAAGUCCAUCUCCUCAAAUAGGUCCACUAAGGCUCUCACUAAUAACUUUGAUAACUUUAUUUAACAUACGAGGUGAGCUACAAAGCUUGGCAAAUAAACUUUUGCCAUGGUCACGAAUUUAAGGUUUCACCAAAAAAACACAUGAAUCUAAAUCAUAAGACAUUUUAAAUUGUCAAUGAAAAUCCAAGUGGCAGUUCACUGAAAUAAAGCAAAAUCAAAAGUUUCAAAAGAAACAACAAUUGUAGUGGAAGAGUCAAAACAUGUGAUUAUCAAAAAGAGUUUACGUAACUAAGUCUAAAUCACAAGUAAAAUAUUCGUCUAAAGUUCAAGUGAAGGUUCAUUCAAUCACUUCGAUAAGGAAAAUUUCAGAAAUUAAAAUCCUUCAAUAGGGAAGAAAGUGAUCCAAACAUAUUUUACAUUAAAUUCUGAUAUUUCAUAUAAUUUUAAAUUAUUUUUAAGGUUUUACUUAAGGUCGGCGGAACCGUUCCAAACCAGACGGUUCCAACUGUUCCGAGCCGUACCGGUGACCCACCGGUACGGUUUCGGCAACGAAAACGAGACCUGUUGCCAUAGUCGGAGAAGAAGGAAAAAGAGCGAGCAGGGGAGGGAGGGAGAGGGAGAGAUCGGGACGCCGACAGAGGUCGGCGGAGGCCGCGGUAGGCAAGGCUGCGGCUGGUUCUCCUAUUUCGAACGAAACAUGGGUCCGACUGCAGCUAAAAAAUUUUGCGAUUUUUAAGUUAAGUCGGUAAGCUUCGCCAGCAUCACCACCCUCCGCCAGCCUCCCUCCUCUCCCCCCUCUUUCUUUUCCUUUCUCCCACGGUAUCGUACCCUCUGUUGGUACAGGCCUGGCACAUCCCGUACCGACUCGUCUCGCCGGAGAACCGGUACCGGUUCCUCUGACCUUGCUUUUACUUAUAUCCUUGAGGCUACUCAUAUUCCCAUUGCAAAUCUUAGCAAGGCCACUCACAUCCUCACUGAUAAUUCGAAUGAAACCACUUAUUAUACUAGUUGCUAGUGCAAAUGGGGCCACUCAUAUCCUUGGGGUCCUUUCACACCACUUGGCCAAGAGUCCACAAAUACCCCUGAGCCAAAUGUUUCCUCAUCAAAAUUCAAGUGAAGCCACUCAUGUACCACCUAACCAAGGGCCCACUUAUAUCCUCAUUGACAAUCCAGAUAAGCCUAUGAACUCCAUCUAGAUAGAGGUUCCCCUUCAAAGUUCAAGUGAGACCACUCAUAUAACAACUGGACAAGGUCCACUAAUUUGAAAAUGUUCUUACAAAUAUUAGAUGAAACAUUUAUUAGAAAGUUUCAAAAAUAAAUGCAUGUAAAAAACGUUCUAAUGAGAAGAUAAUCUGAAAUCAAACAUGAGUUCAAAAUAUCAGUUAGAGGAUUUAUGCAAUUUUACAUAAAAACUAAAACAUGAUUUUCAUGGUGGCAUAGGACCACAAAACAAGUCAAAAUGGUAAAAUUAUGAAACAGCUUAAGGAGCCAAAUCGAUCAUAAAGUCCAAAGUUCAAGAAAACUCUAGGUUCGAGAAGUGGCUACGGGUUCAGCAUUUCAAAAUAAUACUUGAUCUGAAGAUUUGAUCAACUGAUUUAGGGUUUCUAAAGAAUUUCAGAACCAUUUAUAAGCUUAAAACUAAUUAUGGGAUUCAGAAAACACUAAUCCAAUUGGGACUUAAAUAAAAACAUGGAGAAUAAAGAAAAUCAUGCAUUUGGGAAAGGGCCAUGUAGCCUAGAAUUUCAUGACCAUGCAUGAGCUGAAAACUGACUAAGAGAUUCAAAAGAAACAUUAAUCUAAUAAAAACUUAACUUUCAAAGACAUGGAGAAAGUUACUUAGCUAAUGUAGAAAAUGAAACAUAAGUCCUAUUCAAGCUUCAUCAUCAUCAUCAUUUUCUUCUUGUCCUCCUAGAGGCCACGUACCACUUCCUUUUCUCCCCUAGGCUGCCUUCGCUGCCCCUACUUAUAGGCAAGGAAGUAUGGUUCAAGUAGGUGGGGCGCAAUAAGUCAGUUGCCCUUUACAGUUGGUCAGCUAGUAAGGUCGGUUGCUAGUUGGGACAAAUGUAACACUAAGCAGGCAUAUAAUAAAGGCAGACUGGCCUCUUAGUAGACUUAUUUAUAGGCCCCUAAGUAAAUAUCCUCUUCUUCCUUUUAUUUUCAUUUCUAGUUACAUGUAAUAAGGAAGUAACCCCUAUUUCAAUUCAGGAAAAAAAAUACUUAAAAAUAUUUCCUUAAGAAUAAAUCAACUCCCAACUUUAGUUCAAAACCUCAAUUUUUGGCUCGGAGUCAAUUUUUCAACUUCCAAGGCCUAUGUAUUCCUCAAAUAUUAAGGUUGCACCUCUUAUAGCUAAACUUUACUAAAAUCCUAAAGCCUGGUUAAACAGUCCUAGGCAUAUCACCUAAAAUAAAGCUUGACAACACAACACAUUUCAUAGAUGCAAGAAAAGCAUAUAUAUAUAUAUAUAUAUAUAUAGAUGUAUAUGUAUAUAUAUAUAUAUUAUAUAUAUAUAGAUGUAUAUGUGUGUGUAUAUAUAUAGAUGUAUAUGUGUGUGUAUAUAUAUAGAUGUAUAUGUGUGUGUGUGUAUAUAUAUAUAGAUGUAUAUGUAUGUAUAUAGAUAUAUAGAUGUAUAUGUAUGAUAUAUAUAUAUAUAUAUAUAUAUAUAUAUAGAUAUAGAUNNNNNNNNNNNNNNNNNNNNAUAUAGAUAUAUAUAGAUGUGUGUGUGUGUGUGUGUAUAGAUGUAUAUGUAUAUUUCUAUCAAAUUGAGAUAGCAAGUAGCAUGCAUACCCGAAACAUGCUAUCAAUUUUAUAGAAAAUUUUUGAAUAUUUAUUAUUUAUUAUUUUUUAGUCCAAAAAUAUAUUUUUAAUCUAAAAAAUUACAUGAAGAACAAAAAAUUAUAAUUUCUUUGGCAUUGUGUAGAUUAUCCUUAGAUUUACAAUGUAUCAUGAAAUCAUGCCAAAAUACAAAAUUUUGGCGUGAUCUCCUCAUUUUCCCCAUUUUUGCUAAUUUUUGGCAUUAAAAAAAAGGAAGAUGAGAAGGGUGGAGGGGAUUAUACCUUGAGAAGCAAAAAUUUUCGAUCCUAAUUGGUGAAAAUAAGAAUUUCUCCUCUUCUUCUCCCUAAAAAACAAAAAGAAAAGGAGGUAAAGAAGGUAUUGGAGGCCUUCUCUGCCUUCCCAUAUAUAUAGGGGCACUACAAGCCUCGAACCAUCUGAACCACUCCGAACCAAGUGAAACCAAGCGGUUUUGCUCGGUUUGGGUCGAUUGGAGGUCUGUACCAAGCCAACAGCCUAAACCGACCGUGUAACCGACUGGUAUGAGUCAAUAUGGCACGAACCGAGCAGUUUAGGAUGAUUUGGCCUUCCUUGUUGAAAGAUGUUAUCUCCCAAGUUGAAGAGAUCAUAUAUCAAUAAGGGUUAUGGAAUUUUCCAAUCAAAAUGAACUGAAAAAAUUAGACAUAUGAUUUAAAUACCUCACUAGCCCUUAGCUCCCACAUUUUUUCAUAUGAAUACCUUCACAAGCCCUUAGCUCCCACAUUUUUCUCUCGUCUUACUAGUUUGUUAAUAACAAGAAGAAUUGUAAAGGAAGAAAUUCAAUCAUCAUAAAACCAUGAGAUGUGUCUUAACUCAAGGUCUCAUACAAUUUUGUCAAAAUUAAUUAUAUGGUUCAUUAAUGGGAAACCAUCCAAAAUUGCGUGCUAUCAGAUAAAGUAUGACAAAGUCAUAUUAAAGGGGAAUAAACACUUAAAAUAUGAAAAUGGAGGUGAAUAGGUUAUAUACAUGAUAAGGAUGAAAGUAUAAAGAAAUUAAUGAAAGGACUGAGUGAGAGGAAGGCUAUAAAUGAGUAAAGAAGUUAAGAAAAAGUAAAGGGAAUGACUAGGGGCAUAAUUUAUUUAACCAGCCUAGCCUAAAUGUAGCGAUCAAGUCGGUUCAGGUUGUUUACAAGUCUAGUCAGAUAUGGGUUGGGUUAGAAAAUUCCAAACCUAAACCUAAACAAUUUAUUAAACAAACAGGUCAAGAUUUGAAACCUGAACCUAUCAUGUUUAAUAAGCAGGUAAUCCAACCUCACUUGCUCAGCAUGUUUAAUAAAUACGUCAUAUCAGGUUAACUGUUAGACAAUCUGUUUACCCAACUAAAACAUGGUUAACCAUUAAUCACUUAACCUGUUUAACAUAGGCACAUGAUCAAGCAACUUGCUGACCCAAUUACUUGAUCUAUUUGCAAAAAAUGCAUGCCUUCCACUUUGAUAUAGUUCAACCCAAAAAAACCCUAUAGUUCAUGAUAGUGACAAUCAGUCAUUUCUCUUCAUAAAUCAAUAGAUGUACAUUUUGGGAGCACGAUCAUGCCAAAUCAGUACAUUCUGAAAGGGAUCAAAGCAAUCCAUCAACAUUUGUUAUAAUGAAAAACCAAUCUCUUGCGUGCUGAUGACCAUAACCCUUUACCAAGUCUCCUCCCGUCCAUGAUCAGAGCUUUCCACUUCAUGGAGAUGGGACCUUCAAUUAGAUUAUACGAAAUUUCUUAAAAAUUCUUUCAAAAGAAAAUCCUGCAAGCAGUUAUUCAAUAUAACUAUAAAUAGUGCCCCUUCCUAGAGCAUGAAAUAAAAUCAUUCCAAGCAAAAAAGAGAGAAAAAAUUUAAUACAGGACUAAAGAAGACGACUUGAUGAAUCAAAUAGCAAACAAGAUCAACUCCCAAAAACAUAAAAAAAACUCCAUGUUAAAAAUAAAAUCAACAUAGAGAUGUCUUCUUUUUUAACACUUACCAUGGAAAUCUCAUCUCAUAAUUUACAAAAACAAAGAAAAUCUCUUAAAUCAAAAGGUGAUACCGUGGGGUCAGAAACAGUAGACCUCCUAAGAUAAAAGCCGAAGAACCAAUAAGGACUCCAAAUAGAGAAGAAGCCUAAAGAGAAGAAGGCAAGAGGGAAGACAAACCUAAAGUGGGACCAUCUUCCAUGACCACCACCAGUGAGGAACCUAGCCACCGUCUUGACAUCCCUCUUGCUUGGCUAUAUCUUGAUAGAUCUUCAAAGUGAAGAGAGGAGAUUGGAGAUUGAAGAAAGUGGAGGUGUCACAGGAAAAGGCAGCAUGGCAAUCAGGGUCAUGCUAGUUGGCAACGACGCUCUUCCUCUUCACUUCUUCCCAAAUCAAUAAAACCCUAGAUCUUGAUUCCAAUCUCCACUCAUGAGAACUCUCUAGAACAAAUGGGACUGGUACGAUAAGAGGUUUGGAUAAAAAAGUAAAGGGUUGUUUAAAAGGGUACAUGGGCUUGGUUAAACAGGUUUAACCCGACCCUAUCUUGAUUAUUAAACGUGUUAAAUGGGUAAUGCCUCUGAAACUUAAACCCCCCAUUAAAUAAACAGGUCAAGAUGGGUCGACCUGUUUACGACCCGAACCUGCUUAGCCAAAAUACAAACCUGUUUAUAGCAGGUCAAAUUGGGAUCGGGUUGACAGGUCAGGUCAUUAUUUGCUAGCCCUACAUUGGUCGCUUAUCAUUGAAUAACAACUUUGCCCUUGUACUUAAGGCCAAACAUUUUUUUUUGGAAAAUACAAUGUUAAUAUGCCGUCACUAGGGUUUAAACCCUAAACCUCUCUUAAGAGCAAGCCCUUAGAGAGGAAUGCCAACCAUCAGACCCUAGUCCUAUUGGCUAGGACUAGAUAAUUGUAGGCUAUUACAUUACAUGUUUAGUUAUAAGGCGAGGGCCAACAGCAAGAUGCAGAAUAAGCACGCUACAUCUACCAGUUGAAAAUUGUCCAUUUGACAAGUCAUGUUUUCCCAAACAUAAUCAAGCCCAUUAAUGGCAGGGUCUUCCCAAGUCUUUGUUUGUGCUCAUACCAUCCCAUCUAGUGAACUUCCAGGCCUUCUUUAUCUCAUCUCUAGUUUCAUCCUUCAUAGUUGUAUUAGUCAUCUAAGUAUGCUCAUACAUGCAAAACACAUCAUCUUGAUGACUUGAUGCAUCCUUGGGACUUCUACAACAUUUGCUACUUUAUCAUUACCCUUUAGGGCUGUUUGGUCAUUAGAUUUUAUAAAGCCAUUAUAUGCAAAACCUAAAAUAAAUUUUUGGUGAAAAUGCUUGUUUGAUUUUGUUUCAUCAAACCAGAUUUAGAAAGAUUGACAAGUCAUGAGACCUCAAAAUGAGUGUCUUCCCUGUUUUUUGCACAAGUUUUAGAUAAUAUCAGGUUUCAUGAACAUCAUUUGUAAUAAAAUUACCAACCACAAUGUAGCCCCUCAAAGUUCCCCUUAUUACUAACUGGCUCGUGACAUGCAGAUAAAUCUACACCACUUUAUCGUGCUUUGUCUCUAGUAUGUCCUACUCAUCUAUCUCUUCAUUUUCAUAUAUAAUAUUUCAAAGAUAAUGUCACUUUUCACCACAACCUUAUGUUUAUGUGGGUACUUACAAUACCUGUAUCUCACAUGUCAUCUAUAACCAUAAGAGGAUAAUAUCAAGUAAACAGUAGUGAUGGCUGUUAGUAGUGAUGGUUGUUUGGGAAUGCAGUUCCAAUCAGGUAGUAAAAUCUGUACAGGCAGGUUGGGCAAGAAUUUGAUAUUGAACAAGGAGCUAAGUAGACUAAAAUGAUGCUUAUAUGGUCAUUUUUAGUUAAGGUAAUUAUGUGACCAUUAACUGUCAAUGUAAUACUUUGGUCUAAGUUAUGUAAUACUAUGUCCAAAUAUAGGCUUGGAAAUUUUUAUUGAUAUUUCAACUAUAAACUAGAUAAGUUUUAAACUUUUAAUACUCACAGAAAUCUCCUGAGGAUCAUUAGAUCCUCAUUGUUGAUGAAAACCAAAGUUUUUGUCACGAUGCAUCUAAGACCUAAUUCAUCAUGAUAUUGAUGAUUCAAAGUGAUGGAAGAAAAUAUUUAUUUCCGUACAUCUGUUUCAUAAUAAGUUUUUCCCAAAAACUGCUCCUGCGUGCCUAAAAAAAUUCUAAUUACUUGUAGAGUUCCUGGACGAAACGUGCGGCGGAUGUGGACAGCCCCCAACCUAUGUCUCCAUCAGAUCAGUUAGAUGAUCCACCUGAUAGUACCUGGGCUCAGGUCAUUCACCCGAAGCCUGAAACAUUCUGUAAUGAUUGGGUGCCUAUGACUGCCAAUAGGGAGUGCAAAGGAAAAAAAGAACUUUAUGGUAUAACAGCUUUAUCUUAAUAUUUGUCUCAACCAGGAUCGGCGGAACCAUCCCGAAUCGGAUGGUGUCGGCCGUACCAAGUCGUUUGGCGGCGGACUGGGACGGUUCCGGCAACGAAAAUGAAAUCCGUUGCCGGAGGGAGAGAAGGAAAAGAAAAGAUAGAAAAAGAGAGCGAGCAAAGGAGGCAGGGAGAGGGAGAGAGAGGCCGUUGGAUGCCGGCGCCUGGAUAUGAGGCGAAGACUGCGACCUCUCCCUCUUCUCUCUCUCUUUUUCUCUCUCCCGUUCGCCCUCUCCUCCACCUCCUCUACUGUGUCGGUAUAGGCCCGGCCCGGCACGACGUGGGCCUGUACCAACCUAUGCCGCCGAGCAACCGGUCUGGUACCCGAUACCGGCACAGCAGACAAUAGUCUCAACUAAGUAUUGAAGAUUCUAGUAUUAUGAUUGAUUUAUGAUCUGUAUAGCAGAUGAUUUCAUGGGCAAAGACCUGGAGAUUGGAGUACCGAGGAAUCCAGAUACACAAUAUGAAUCAUAUCCAACUGAGCAGGUUUCUACCAAGUUAACAUGCACAAGCAUGGACAAAUUGCCUGAAAGUGACCCAAAAAUUGAGGGUACAUUGGGACUUGAUAACAACAAUAUGUCUGAUGAACCAAGCAUCCAAGCUGCUGAUCUGAUCGGUGCAAUCACUAACAGCAUGGAUGCUCAACUGGUAACCAGAGUUAUGGAGGCACCUAAUGGCUUCUCCAGUGUCACAGAAGGCAAAGAUAAAACUGCGGAUGGCUCCAUGGAGUUACCAUCCCUUGAGUUGAGUUUGAAGUGGCUGAGAUCAACAGGACAGAAGGGAGCUGCUACUCAUGAUGGCUGCAAUGUUCUAAGACGUUCAAAUCUGUCAGCAUUCUCAAGGUGCGAAAAAUAAAAUAUAUGAGAACAUUAUUUUUGCUGCCACUAUUUCAGAAAGAAUAGCGUUCCAACUGUUUUUGUUUUCAUGCAAGGUACCACACUUCUGCUACUUCUAAUCAAGCCCCUACUGGGUAUGGAGGUAGCUGUUCUCCGCUUGACAACAGCUCAGAGGCAGUGAAGAUGGAAUCUACAAACAAUAUGAUAUGUAAUUCAUAUGCUGCUCCUCUAAAACGGGGCUCUGAUUGCAGUAGUAACAACAAUGACAUGGGCUCCACCACCAAUAAUGUCUUCACAAAACCAGUUGCGUACAAGGAAAAAGCAGCAUCUACAUCAACGUUCAAGUGUAUCCAUCCCUCUUCAGCCUUCCAUCCUGUGCAGUUUCAAGCAUCUACUCAGCAAGUUAUGCAACAGAAAGUUGAUGAUUUAGCAGCAGCAUCAAUGGGACAGCCAAGAGAGAUCCAAUGUCGAGUCCAAGUGCACCAUCGCCAUCACCUCUAUCAUCACCAACACCAUAUCCACAGCAUGCAGCUGCAGCAGCGGCUGCAGCUGCCAGACCAUGAUGAGAUGUCUCUCAAGAAUAUGGCAGCAGCUGCCCCACAAUGUGGGUCAUCUUCUAUGUUCACUGGGCCAGUGGAAGGUAAUGCUGCAAAUUAUAGCAUAAACAGGAGCAAUUCAGGAAGUAAUCAUGGGAGCAAUGAGCAGAAUGGAAGUAGUGCAGCUGUCAAUGCUGUAGGAAUGAAUAUGGAGAUUGCCAAUGGUAUUGCAGACAAAAGCACGGCUGGAGGUAGCGGUAGUGGGGUAGAUCAGUGCCGUUUUGCAUGGAGAGAAGCUGCCCUGCAGAAAUUCAGGCAGAAAAGGAAGCAAAGGAACUUUGGAAAGAAGGUAGACAACUUUUGGUUGCACAUCUAUAUUCAAUAUUUCAUUUCAAGAGGCAUGCCCAUUGCAUUGUUGAAGCAUACUCACCAAAUAUAGCUAACUUAAUUUUCCCAAGGUAGAUCAUGCUGGAUCGUAACAUUAAUACGUGGCCUUCAGGCCAUUUACCAUACAGAUCCUAUCUAUAAGAUAUCAAGAUCUCCCAAAAAUUUAUAGAAUGGUGACAUAACAUUGUCUUCCACCAGUAAUAGUUUGCACACAGUACAGGCCACUCUUCAAGUAUUUAUAGUUCUGUAAAAUUUAGGGAUAUAACUUUCUGCUAAUAAAGAUUUUCAAGGUUCGCAGUACUAAUACAUAUUGUCUUGUACCAACCGUAGCGUACCAUACUAGUGCUGAAGGGAUACUCGAUACGGGGAGUGUAUUAGUGUUGGUAUGCCAAACUGACCCUAUACCAGGCAUACCAAUACUGUACCGACAUGGUACUGAUAAAAGGUCUGAUACUAGAAUUGCGAAGUUUGAAGAUUAUGUUUGAUGUUCUAGUGUUCGGUCAUUUCAUUUUCAUUCUUCUUUGUUUUCCUUUGUGGAAUAUUUGGAUGGAAUUUGACUUUUUGUUGGUUUUGGUUUUUCAGGUCCGUUAUCAAAGCAGGAAGAGACUUGCAGAGCAGAGGCCACGCAUGCAUGGACAAUUUGUGCGACAGUCUAUUCAAGAACAGAGAGACCAGGAAGAAAACAGAUGACAUCAUCAGUCAUUUGGGUACAAAAUGUUAGCAAGUAUGCAAAUUGAAAUUUCUUGGCUUUGAGCCGCUCAUGGAUGGGCAGCACAUAGAUCCAGGUUGUGAGAACAUAAUAAAAGGAUUUGGUGUGUGGCAUGACUUCGAUGACUACUACAUGGAUGUUGGUCACCCUUGAAAGGGGUAGCUAUCAGCUGUACUCGUAAAGGCACGUCCGCAGCACUGUUUUAUGGUUUGUGCUGUUAAAGUCUGCAUGUUAUUGUUAUCCUGUUUCAGUCCAGCAUGCAGGCUAAGCUCUUUUCCUUUUUUCUUUUCUUUUUUUCCUUUAGGAGGGGCUGAUCUCUACUUUUUUUCUAUCCUAUACCCGUCUCAUCCUCUGGUGCUAACUCCAGCCUGAAUCUAAUCCUUACCCCUUGCCCGAGUGAUAAUAGGUGAUACAUCCAAGCAAGUGCUGGGUGGCCCAUUUGAGCCUCCAAGCCCGCCCUACUUCUCUACCAAAAGAGGGGGAAAAGACUCGCAAGCCUAUAGAACACAGACCUUGUUGAAGGUUAGCGUAAGCUUGACAAAUGAUUGUUAGAAAUGCUGAAAUAAGUCUAAUCCAGAGUUUGACAUAUGUUCAUCCUUAUGUCAACAUCAGACAACCCUUAAUUGCCCUAACUGUUUUCAUCUUUAGCUUCCAUGUUCGGCGAUCCCCUCCGAUCAGAGCACGAGCUGUUGUCAUGAAUUUACGACAAUCCACUUGUUAGCUUCCAUAUUUGUUUAUCACCUCCAAUCAGAACAGAUGAGUUGUAGUUUCCUGAUACUAUAACAGUCUAUUUGGGUUUCGAGCACAAGGUCCAUACAAGUGUCGGUCCGUAUGCAUGCUAACAGGUAAAUGUUGUUGAGUGAAUUUGCUUUGAUAUUGCCUGUUUUAAGUCUUUCAAAAAGCGCCCUUGGGAUUUGUUGGACUAAUCCUUCCUUUGGGCUAUUUUCUGCUUGGUCGCAGGUGGCAUGCUCCAACAAGCAUCAUUAAUUGAACAUGGACCAUAGGCACUUGUAGGACAAAUAACAUCAAGAAUACCUUGUCAUAUUUUUAUUUCUUCGAUCUCAUAUUUUUUUCUUGAAUAAGAUUUCAAGAGCCAUUACUCCACUUUUGUUGAUUGGUAGCAGAUUAUGUCCCCCAUGAUUCUCUAGGAAAGUGUUCCAACCAACCUAAACAGGUCCCUUGUGCUGAUUUACGUAACUAGACAAUGUCUUUUCCACUUGAUCGAGCUAUUCUUGCUCCAUGGGAUUAAUGUCACUACAUCUCGACAUGAAGGUUAGAGUUCCUGUGGUUAUCUCCCAAAGGGUAUAGAGUUCCUGUCCCUUAAGUGGCCCUCAAACAGGACGAGGUGAAGGUCAAACAGAGUCCAUGAGAAGGUUAAAGGAAACAAAGGUGAAGAAGAUAAAAGCUCAAAAAUAUAGAUAUUUUUAGAAACUAAGCCACUCAAGGAAUGAAUCAUCUUGAAGGGACGAAACACUAGAGUGCAUUAUGCUGAGAUGCGCCAAAACUUGAGGGAAUGAAGAGAUACAUUGGCAACAAAUAUGUUUAAACUAAAUAAAAAAUUAACACAUGUAUGAGGUAGAAGUAUAUUUGUUUAAUAAUUAAAGGUGAGCAGAAUAUGAUGGCAGCAAAACACGGGACCAGAAAGAAGUUGUUUCCAUUGAGGUAUGUGCCUUACAAAAGAUGACUAGGCCUUUUCUGAUGGCAAGACACUGGCAUGUUCAGUGGUGACUCGAGGGUUGCUUUGGUCUUUUCUAGUUCAAUCUUAAAGAGUGUUAAAGUAAUGAUCUUUUAAUAAAAGUGAAUAGCAUCAAGAUCCAUGGAUUCACCAUUGCUUUGUUCUAAAGCUGUAUGAUAGAAAACAAAUGGAGACUUUCAUGAUGCAACUAGAAUGUGUAUUUCCACAGUAUUACUUGCUCCAUUUCAUAAUCUAACUAUAUACAAGAGACUUUGUGAGUAAAAGAAAAUUGUUGAUGGGUGUAGAUCAUCAAUACAAUAAGCAAUCAAAAUUUUGAUUAGCAAAAUUGAGACAAGAUAUUCAUGGAGUAUAUUGGUCAUUUUUUCAUGAAUGCAUGCUCCCCUAUACAAGUAUCACUGAGAAGGUUGUGGAGUUGGAUUAUUUCUUGCAUUGGUAAUUUUCAAUUUUAUAUGCUUAGUCAUUGUACAUCCAAAAAUUAAACAAUUUCAAAAAAAAUGAGUAGGUUACCUGCUCUCCCUCUAUCUUUUGAUCAUGUAGGGAGGAAUAUGGUAGACUCGUGAUGAGGGCAAAAGUCCCGUGUUAAAUUGAAGAGGUCAACAGUAACACCUGGAAUAAAGUGUUCCCUUGAUUGUUCAGUACCAAUAUAGCAGAAGAAAACUAUUACACGAGAAUAAAUUCAAGGGCCAGCCAGUGACUUUAAUUAUUAAAAAGAUAAAACAAUGAAUGUGAAAUAGUAUAAUAUUAAGUAUCAUCAAAAAUACAUGCGCUUACAAAUUCCGUGUGGACCAUUAACUAUGAGCCACCUCAAUAUUGACUUCCUGGGUAGAAAUAUUCAACACCAUUUUCCUUCACCUUGAAGUGGAAGUUAUGAAUUUUGUUCAUUGAAUGCCCAUGUCUGCUGGAAGUCCCUUUGUUGAAAAUGGUCAACUGUCAAAAAUUUGCAAUGUAACUAUGAGCCACCUCAAGUUGUCCAUUUUCAUUGUAAAUAGUAGAAAACAUCUUUUAGGCCCACACUCAGAUAUUCGUAGAUUAUUUGUGCAUAGUAAUUAUAGUCAUUAUCAAGCAUUGCAACUUCAUGUUGAACAUAACAUGGGUCCAUUACUUAAGGCUCUUUGGAUGCUUGUGAAAUUUUCUUGAACAGAUUAUCAUAAAACAUGGUUCCGUAAAACAGUUUUAUCAAAGACAAGGGGAGACCUAUUUCUCAUAAACCUCAUUUUCCUGGUUUAAUGACUUGUCAGAUUUAGUAAAACAGUUUUUUUGAGGGAAAAAGCGAAGAACUACUUUUCAUAAAAUUCAUUGCUUUUGAUUCUUUUUCCAAAUAUGUUUUAGUAAAACUUGUCAAUCAAAGCUACAGUGAAUCCCACAUGCAUCUGUAAGAGCUUGUAGAGUUCUGUUACUUGUGGGAAUGUUUGUUGGGCUAUUUCUUCAGUUAAAGUCAAAGAAAAUUUUGUUAAAAAUCAAGAGUUUGAGGUUUCUUCUAAUGCUAUAAGAGGAGAGGUCAUUUAGGAUCCGGAAAUGAGCAAUUUUCCAUAGUAAGCCAUUCAAAAGAGAUCAUCUUUUGGUAGGAAGAAGAAAAUCAUUUUGAUUUACAAGUAUUUAAUUAAUUGUGAACUGAAGGGUUAAUUGUGCCUAGAAGUACACAGGUUCAAAUUCUCCAGCACUUAUGCUGAUAUACAGGAAUUCUCAGAAUGAACAAAAUCUAUGAAUAACUUAGCAUGAAAAAUGAGUAAGAAACUAAGAUAAAGUAUAACAUUGCUUGUGAUCUUAAGUAAAUUAAAUAAAAAACCUCCUCUUAAUUCAAGACAUUGUAAAAACUUCAUGACAAGUGCCUAAUGUCCGAUGCUAAAGCUAUCAAGUGGGUUUUACUACUUUCCUUCACAGUUUCAAGAUAAUAAAAAUGUAAAGAUUCCCGAAAGCUCAAUUAAAAUGUAAGAUAAUUGAAUUUAAAACUGAUAAUGAGCCAUUAUUAGCUAACUCUAUUUACAUAAUUCACAUUUCACAGUAUUUCAAUUUAUCACUCAUUUAAACUACUCUCUUAACAAAUUAUAAUAACUUGGAUCAAGAUCGGCGGAACCGGUACAGGACACCAUACCGCUUUUCCGGCGGCACGAGUCGAUAUAGGCCGUGUUGGGCCUAUACUAACAGAGGAGAGGGCACGGUACCGUGGGAGAGAAAAAGAGAGAGAAGGGAGAGAGAGGGAGGGAGAGAGGCCGGCAGAGGGUGGCGGACACCGACGGAGGGCCAGCAGAGGCCGCAGGAGGCGAAGCCGCAGCCGGUUUUACUAUCUUUUAAUUUCGCAAUUUUUAAGUAAAGUUGGUAAAUCGCUUGCCGACUUUACUUAAAAAAUGUAAAAAAAAUUUAAGUCGCGGCCAGGCCCCUGUUUCAUUCGAAACAGAAAAACCGGCCCCGACUUUGCCUCCAGCGGCCUCCGCCCCUCCGCUGGCAUCCCGCCCUCUCCCUCUCCCUCUCCCUCUCCCUCCCUCGCUCUCUCUUUCCUUAUCCUUCUCCGGCAACGGAUUUCAUUUCCGUUGCCGGAACCAUACCGGUGAGCCUCUGGUACGGCUCAGAACGGCCGGAACCGCCCAUCCCCAAACCGGUACGGCCGACCCUGACUUGGAUGCCCGAUACAGCAGAAUAAAGCAACUCCUAGAUAAGGCUGAAAAGUGACAUAAAGCACUAUACUAGUGACAUCACCAAUGGGCCUAGCAUCUGCCCAUUGGCAAUCCUAUUAUCGACAGAUUCACUGGGGCGAGGUUCCAUAUCCCUAUGUUGCUGGUAGCAUAUCCCUACACUAAAACACUUUAAGGAAAGAUACAUGAAUAAACAAAGAAUUGAAAUUAGAUAAAGAUAUUUAAACUUGCCCUAUUUUUGGAAUGGAUUUGGAAAGAGGUAUCAACAAAAAGACUUGACCAGACACAUGAAACUCUUCUGUCUCAAAAAGCAUUCGAAAAUGCAAUUCCACAAAAAACAGGGGUGCGACAAACUUCUUUAACAUAAUUACCAAAGGCUUACCCUGGAAGCAAAUGAUUUAAUUCUACAUAACUUGAAAAUAAUGCCAUAAUAUGCAGUAUCUCUACAUUGGGUUAUAAAAUGCAGUAAAAAGGUUGUUUGUAGGAGCAAUAUGGGUUCACUCGACACUAUUUAGACAAUUGUAUGUCAAAUUGAGAGUUGCUGUAAAAUGUUCUCAACCAUUGAUAAUUAUAGAUCCAUAAAGCAAGUCCGAAGGUUCAUUCAAGUUAGGUAUAUAAAGAAUGUUUCGUGGAUUAUCCACAAUGAAAAAGAUGCAGAUAACCAAAUUCAAUCAGUCAAAUAAACUAUAUGCAGAAACAAUUAACAAAGUCUUAUAGCAACAGUAAUGCCCAAAAAAUUUAAAAAAACAUAUAAAUGCUGUAGACCAAACUACUUUUCUGUUGUCGUGAUUUGGUUUUUAUACAUUCCAUAUAUAUAAUUCGUGAUAAAAGCAACAACACAAAUGGCAUUUACACAACCACGCGGAAGGCAUGGAUCGUAUACUGAACUUAACAGUGCCAUUUAGCAUCUCUCUAAAGUAAGCAUUGCAACUAUUGCUUCAAAUACAAGUUAUAGUAGUAAAGGUAAAAUCUUCAAGAUUCCUGAAUUUGACACAAACUGUAUCUUAACAUGUUCCUAUGCCUGGAAAAUUAAGGGUCAGGAACUCUUCAUAUUUUUAUAAUCAAAUUCAGUGAUUGAUGCAGAGCCAAUCAACAAUGAAGGUAGAGUGACUGACAAAGCGGCAAGGUGAAUCGACAAGGUAAUAGUAGCGCUGUCAUGGCAGAUCAACAGACCAACCAGGUGGGUAACGGUGGUCAUCAGUUGAUAUGGAGGAAAGUGAGAGAGGCAGUGCUUCAGUGGUGCAACAGCAGUGCAGUCAGCACAAGGAGGUGGAGUAUAGGAAAAAGGAGAAGGGAGGAGGAAGGAUUAAUCCAGAGAGUUCUGGUAUCCAUCAAAAAAUAUAUCAUAUUCCCCACAUGAAAUUCUAGGUGGGACACCAACUAAAGUAGCAGGAGCUUUGACCAAGUUUCAACGAUUGGUCCCUCAUGUGGGAUCCAGUUUGUUGGCCCCACUCCAUGCUCCAAAGACAUUACAAAAUGCGGACAGAAGCCCAACCACUGGUCAGCGAGACGAGAACCAAACACCUUUUGACCUCUCACUUUUUAUCUAGGGUACGGAUAAUGCCCCUUGCUUAGUGCAACUACUUAGAGACUCAUUAUACCUUAAUAUUUAUAUACUUAUGUAUUUGCAUGUCAAGUACAAGGAGACACCUCACUGUUUCACAAAGCUUAACCAGAUGAUGCAGAUUCUAGCAAGGUUCCUCCAAAGUUUAAACGAUAACAAUUUCAAGAGGUCUUGAUUAAGGGCCCUAGGGAGGAAUAUAGUAGACUCAUGAUGAGGGCAAAAGUCCCAUAUUAAAUUGAAGAGGUCUUGAUUAAAAGCUUGUCGUAUAACAACCCUUAGUUUGCAUAUUAUAUCCUAAUCUUGUAGCUAUUACAAGAAUUUUUUUCUUCAGAAUGUGCACCUAUUUUUUUUCCUGUUGCUUCAAAAAGCUACUUCGAGGCUUAAUUUGAGCCUUGCUAGUUGCUACAAUAGCUGUCAACNNNNNNNNNNNNNNNNNNNNNNNNNNNNNNNNNNNNNNNNNNNNNNNNNNNNNNNNNNNNUACCAUGGUAUCUUGCUCAGGGCCUUGCUAUUCUCAUUUUCCAUUAUGGAUUCCAUGAAUGAAAGGAUGCAGAAAAAAAUCCUAUUUGAACAAAAAAAUAUGUCAUAUAAAUGCACACUACCCUGCUUCCCAAUAGUAGUAUGUCUUUGUUCACAAUGCCUCGAGCGAGUGUUGACAAAACAGAGAAAAUCCAGAAAGAGAUUAUUUUGGAAGGGAUCAAAAGUGUUAACUAUAUAACUCAGUAAGCUGGAAACUACUUCAAAGACCUACAAGUGAUAACACAUCUAAGAAUCUGUCAUAUACAUAUGUUGCCCGAAACAUCUUGGUUUCAAUCUUCCAAACUAUGAUAGGAAACCGUGAAGGUAUAUACCUGUUCGGCCAUGCAUUAGCAUAAUUUAAACAAAUCAAGAAAAAUGAUUUCAUACAAAUUGUACAGAAAAGAGAAACAGAUAAUUAAGUAUGACUAAAAGGGUGAUCUUGCAUGCUGAGCUGAUAAAUUAAUUUUAUAAAAUAUCAAUGCAUUUCAAUAUAUCCCUCAGGAAUAUUAACUGAAUUACUACGUGAUAAAUUUUGGAAUCUGGAGGAAGGGCCAGUUUUAACUGAACAUGUAUUUUACACCAUUUUCCAGGCAGAUUUGUAAGAUACAGGACCCUUUACAACUAAACCAUGAAAUGGGCAGUAUAAUGACCUUCAGCUAGGGGACAAGCCCAUAAAACCCUAUCACCAAAUCUUUUGAAUUUGGCUGCUCACAAAGAGGUACCUCUCAAGGAUUCUUAUAAAAAUGUUUUGGAAAAUCGGAGUGGCAAUUUCUUGCCUUGACUUGCCAACCCAACCAAAAUAAAUAGAUAUCGGGUGAGGGUUUUUAAUAAAUGGAUCAGACUUGGGUUACUCAAGACCAACCCAAUAAUAAAUGAUCAGGUUUGGGUUUGACAACCCCCACAAAAAAAAAAACACCCGAUGGAUCAUAAUGGGUUGGACAAACACUUAAACUUUUAGCCCCUAUGUCCAUAGGACAAUGGCAAUAGUGUGAUGGAUCAUUGAAUAGUUUAGGAACACUGUGAAUUAAUAGUUAGUAAAACGUAAAUAUACUAAUAUAAAUGUGGAGAAAAUAGCAUGUUUAAGAUCUAAGAUGCUUUUUUACCCACUUUAAUUUCUUCUCACUUUAUCCUGACACCCAAUUCCUUCUUCUUGGCUCUAUUUUGCUUUCAUUUGUUUAAGGUACAUAACAAAUAAGUAGAGCCAUAACUAGGUUGGCAAGUGGGGAAUCAGUCUCUACAAAAUAAAUGGAUCUGAUAUGGUUCCUUUUGAAAUCACUAUUAACGAGUCAGGUGUGGGCCAAGGGUUUUUACCGACCUAAAUUUGACCCGACCUAAACCAAACCUAACCCAAAUCAUUGCAAGCCCUAGCAAGAACAUUACUUGGACACAAAGCUUUCAAAGAUAUUUUACAGAGGUAAAAAGAAAGCAACUAAACUGAUCUUCUUAACAACCUUAUAGAUGCACACAUGCCUAAGAAAAUGUGUGUUUGAAAUAUGUUCAAUCCGUCAUCUUAAAGUUCACUCCCUUUUUAAGAUAGUGUAGUGUUGAUCAAGACCAUAGAGUGCUAUAGCAUGCGCUUCUCACUGCCAGCUCCAGAAAGAGUGGAAUUAGUUUGGUGGUAAGCAAAUCUAGAAAACUUGGUAUGUUACUAUCAUCGACGAUGCAGCAUGAGCUCCUUGACACUAUCUGCAUCAUGUUGCAAAGAUGGUAAUCAGUGAAUCAUCACUCUUCAUUGUGUAAUAGCUAGCACUAGACCUUACUUUUCAAGUUUAUUGGCGACCUUGAUUGUCUCUAAAAAACAGUGUGGAUGUCCUUGUUGGAUCAUUUGGAGUUCCAAUGAUUUUUACAGUUCCAGUCCAAAGAGCGCUAAGAAUUCUACAGACUCAUAUAGUGGACAAAAUUAAAGUUAUCACACAGUGAAAAAUCGUAGAAAGCUUUUCAAUAGCUUGACUUUCAGUUACGUCACAAAUUGAAUAAAAUACUAACUCGUGUUAUUGAGUAAUAAUAAGCAUACUUGUCCAUGCACAUCAGCAGAUAAGCCAGUACUUAAUGGUUCUGUCUUUAUCACAAUAUCCGCAAGGUACUCCAGAUGUGAAAGGAACCUUGGGGCCUCCUCGCUUGAAUAGAUAUCUUCAUGGUUCAGAAUCACUAGAGAGCAAUCCUGUUAAAAAAAUGUAAAGGAAUUCAAUAAAAGGAGUAAGAAUUAGCAAAAGAUGAGACAAGCUUGAAGUCAUCUUUCUAACCAGUUCUGCUGUGAGGCUAAUACAGUAGUACAGGAAGUCCAAGACACAAUCUAUAGAACCACAUGCAGCUAUCUCUAAAAGGGAGAGGUCAUCUAUCAUGAUGGUAAUGCAGCCUCUGCUGUAUUCCUUUGACCUUCUCGCUUCUAUAGCCCUUUGAAUCUUACUAUACAAUCCAACAAAACCACUUUCAAUGUCAUUUCCUCCAGUCAGACCUGUAAUUCAAGAAUCAUUAGCUUAGCCGCAAGAUGAAUUAACUAAAUCACAUCAUAAUAAAAUGUUAUCACAAUGAUGUCCGUUAGUGAAAAAAUCAGCAGUACAGAUCAAGGGCCCUAGAGAAAAGACCAAGUAAUUGAUGGCGGGAAGCAAUUCUCUUUAGCUUCAUACUCACCUGGAAAUUCAAGCUUAAGCAUGUCAAAAAAGUGCAGUUUAUUGUUGUUCCUUUGAACCGAUAGACUGCAACCCUGAAUCAAAUAGAAUGUACUAAAUUUAUUAUUAUGGUCAUCAUAUUCUGAAACAAUCUCUGAAGUGGAAGAAUCACCAAACAAGCAGACGUUAAACAAAUAUCUUUCUUUAAAAAAAAAAUCAACUUAGAAAGUAAAUUAUAGGUACCAAACUGUUUAAUAUCAGCAAAUUAUUAUGCAUGUAAACACAUGUAUAAUUCAAUUGGCAUGGGCACCAUCUACUGUGUGAAAGAGAAAAUGGGAAGCUAUCGAUGCUUAUCGAAAUGUAAAUCAUCUGCAAUGUUAAAACAUGUGUGUAGGGUUGAAUGCACUUGAGCAUAGAAAACAAGACAAUAACAUCAUAAGGGUUUUGAAAAGGUUGAAUGACUUGUUUAUCCUAUGAAUUUCAAAAUUUCCACAUGUUGCUCAUUCCCAACAUCAAUAAGCAUAAAAUCUUCAACAACAGUGGAAUAUAUUCUUUAACUAUCAAGUAAUAAUGAGAAGAGAAUGCAUUUUGAAAGAAAAUCAGAGGUCAGAAUAAUUAGGUAAUUUAAUCAAGUUUUUAUUUAGACCAUGUUAUUUCAAGUGUCAAAUCCUUAGCCCUCGAAUACUUAGGCACCACAACUUUACAGUUUCUGAAUGAACCUUGUUAACUUGCGAUGUGACCUUUCUGAACAUGUAAAAGAACACCAGUUAAAAAUCUUACAAGGUUCAAUUAUCCAAGCCAGACAAGCACAGGAAGAAGAAUAGACAAUAUGGAUGCACGUAAUUUGCUAGUUUAGCACAACCCAAAUAAUUCAAUAGACGCAGAAAGCUCUAACUCCAAUCUUUUUCCAUGUUAUUUUCCCUUCUUGAUCAAUCCAGCCCUAAAUCCAUCACCACAACAAUCAGUCACAGCCUCAAAUAAUAGAAUGCUCCCUCUGACCCACUUCCAUAUUUCACCAAAGAUUUUACAUUGCCCAUGUCCAGUCCGAGUAAUGCUUUCUACAAAAUGCCUAAUCUUAAUAUCGAUUGCUAUAUCCCCAGUCACCUACGGUUUUGACCAGUAGAAGAACUGAAUCUUGAGCGCUCUUUCUAUCGGGUAAAGAAAAAAGAAUCACCCAUCCCAUUGAUCCUAACAACUUCACUACGUAAUCUAAAGAUUAAUCUUGACACGAAUCGGUGCCUGAUCUAACCAUAUCUCCGUUGAUUACCUUCCCUUCAUAUAACUGUGGAUCUUGAUAGCAAUCACUAUUCGAAGUUAUCAUAUCGUUUUGUCCCGAGGACAAGGUGGAAUCCUGAACGGACUUUUCCAUCCAAGACCUGGAAAAGGCCUACCAUCGAUCCCGAUGAUUUCCAUUCUACCAUCGUUCGUAUGCCGAGAGAAACCAAGAACAGUAAUGUACAGAAGAAAGGAAAAGGGGGAAAAAGGGGGGAAAGAGCAUCAUGUGUUUGAGAAAACGACGAGGAGAACGAUAAUAAAGAUUAGGGUUCGGAUUUGGGAUCAUUGCUCACUAGCUUCCUCAGAACGCGGUCGUAGUGGGAGAAAGGCUGGGCAAGGGCGAGAAAGAGUACGUCCCCGCCACCCUCGCCGGCGGAGAGGGCGCGCUUCAGGAGGUGGUGGAGAACGAACGCGCCGCUCGUCUCGACGCAGUCCUCGACGAGGACGACCCGCCCCGCGGGAAGCGCAGCGAUGGCUCCUCCGUGGCCGAGGCCUAGGGCCUCAUCAAGAAGAUUGGAAGGAGGGUUCAUGCUCUCCCUCUCUCCCUCUCUCGUCGAGCGAAACCCCGCAUCGCCAGGAGAGAGGGAUGAGGCGGCAAGCGGCCAUAUUUAUAGCUGGGUGAGCUAGGAUCCUCACCCGUGCUAGGUAAAGCGGACCCACCGCCUGUGCGCGCUGGUGGGUGUCUGAAAUGAAUUAUCUCAAACGGAUGAGAGCGGUGGGUGCAAAAGUCGGUGAACGCGUCUCAACUUAUUUCCACGUCUUCCCGAAAUUCUACCCCAAAAUUUCAAGAAGUGGGGAUCUGUGGGCGUGUGGAAUAUAAGAUGCGUUGGAAUUAUUCGAUGUGAUCAAUCUUGGGAAAAUUUCAGAUUUGCCUGCGCCAUAGUGCUACGGUGGAAUACCAUCCUCUCACCGUCCACAACUCUUGGAGUUGGCGGUGGAAUUGAUUAGGAACCAAUUUCACCAAUACAGUCUCUUCGUUGCUCCUUCAAAAUUUCUAAAUUCUAAAUACUGGUUGUAUCAUUAAAUGCAAAAGCCACCGCACGUUGUCACCUGUAUCAUGCAUAGAUACAAGCAUUGGGGUUUAGAUCCUCUGUGCAUCACAAGAGGUUGUACGCUCCUAAGUAGUUACCAUGUCGUCCAUCUCGAUGACUCAAUUUUAUCUUAAAAAUAUGGACAAGUUGGGAUCGAUGCGACACGGCACACGAUGAAAUAAAUGAGAAUCAUUUUUUCUAAAACAGACGCCAUUAUAGCAAUCUAGGACCAACCACCAAUCUAUAGUGCAAAAUAAGCACCAUGAAAAAUUCAAGCUGACCAAUAUUAUUUAUUGCACACUUAAAUUUUUCUUUUUUUUUACAAAAUAUAUUUCUUUUAAUUCACUUCCUACCAUAGAAGACAAAACAAAAAAUAAAAGAACAUCUCUACCAAAACAUCCACCAAUCUACGGUGCAAAAUAGGCACCAUGAAUGAUCCAAGCUCAUCGGCAUUAUUUAUUGCACACUUAAAUUCUCAAACUUUUUUUACAAAAUAUAUUUUUUUCUAGUUCACUUCGAGAAGAUAAAACAAAAAAUAGAAGCACAUCCCUAUCAAAAUAUGAAAACAAAAUGAUUACCCAUGCAUGCACCUGCAUGUGUAAUGCCACCAGCAUGAGCAAGACCUUUAAAAUACAAUUAUGAUCAAUGUUUCUUGGAAUAUAUAUAUAUAAUUGAUAUUAUAUUUUUUAAUUACAUAAAAAUGCAUAGAUUAUUUUUUUAAAAAAAUAGAAAAUUAGAGUGAACCUCCAACCAACUACUUCUUGACAAACGGCAGCAGCUACAACUUCAGCGUUGCGAAAAGAGGAUAAUAUAUAUAGCAAAAAAAUUUAUAAAAUAGAGAAUCAAUAUUGUUUCACCUAAAAGAGAACAAUAAUUCUAAGCCAAAUGCAUAAAGCUAUUGGUGACGCAUUUGUACCAUUAUAGAAUUCUUAAAUUAUGCUUCUAGGCCAUAAACAAGAUCAUAGGUGACAAUACUAGAGUUUACCAAACUUGCAAAUUCAAAAAGUUGUUGCAUCAUUAUUUUCAACCAUGUCUAGGCUAAUUGUCCUUGAAACAUAAUUAACAUGAUUUAGAAAUAUUUGUGCUGGUUCAAAAGAAGAAAGCUAAUCGUUACAAGCAAUAGACGAUCAAAAAUAUAUUUAAUAAAUCUAGGAUUCGUUGAAGGAAUCAUAUUUUGCAACCACUUCGAUCCAACUACUAGCACGCUAAUCAUAGAUCUUCAGAAAUAUUUUUCUUCAGAAGUUCUAUUUUAAUCCAAACAGGUCCCUCAGAUCCCUUACCAGAUCACCAUGGACUACAUUGCUUGUGUCAGAGCAAUUGAAGUGCUUUCUUUGCUCCAUGUUUAUUCUUUUUUUUUGAAAAAAAUUGACAUAUUCACCUGCCUCCCAGUGAUGCAAAGAUUUUCCUUAACAUAAGCAUCCAUCCUAUGGCUAACUCUUGCUUAUCAUUGUAAACUUCUAAUUUCAACCAUCAUUCUAAGUAAAAAGUGCUCUGUUAUUAAAUAAUUUCAGAUUUAAGUCAUGGAUCAAGAGACUUAUUUCGUAUUGGACUCUGACCGGGUCCAAAAUACUGGCUACCGAGUCACGCUCGAGCGCCGAACGGUAAGCGGAAACUGGUCCGAUUCGCCCGCGCCAGAACCACACCAGCCGCUGGUGUUCCACAGCUUUCCGAGGACAACAACAUAAAGAAAGAGGGCGGUCGCCGGUCCGUCGUCCGGUUUACGACUUCGGGUUAGGGAAAAAAACAAGAAAUAUUUUAAAGAGGGGCCCAAAGGCAUUCAAUAUACGUAAAAGGUAAAUAAAUUAACCGUGUUUCUAGGUAAAGCCAGCAUCGAUAUACGAAAAAGAAUUUAAAUAAAAAAGAAUACUAGAACCGCGUUUUUUGGGUCAAGAUCGGGGCACACGGUCAAGUGGGUUCUUCGAUCCAACGGCCCAGAUCGCUCCGUCUUUCCAUUUUGGUGGUUCCAAGAACCAAGAAACGCCGGUUCUCCGGUGCGUGAAGUGACCGGGAAUUAAAUUAUAAUUGAAGUUUGUAUUCUCCUAAUUUUAAGUUUUUAAACUGUGGUGUUUGCUUUCUAAUUCUGGCCUCUUUUAAUCGGAGUCCUUCCUCUUUAUUUCCUCUGUCACUCUCUUUUUCUCACUCUUUUUCGUGAGAGAGUUAAAAGAGGGGAAGGGAAGAAGGGCUCGAGGACGAUCGGUGGGAAGGGAAUAUGGGGUGCUUUCCGUGCGCCGGAGAGCCGAGCAAGAAGGGCAAGGAGAAGGAUCAGAUCCUACCGGACUCAGGUGCUUGGAAUCCGUAGCAAAUUGGCGAUUUUUUUUUUCGUUUCUUUUGCUUCAUUUGUUGUUUUUUAAAUCGGUCGAAUCGGCUGGGGGUGGGAGCUUCUUGGAAUUUUUGUCUUAUCGGAUAUGGAUUUUGGGUCGGAUGGUUCCAGAUUCUAGUCGAAAGUUAGGGUUUGCUGAGGGGAAUCACUCGAUCUGUAGGUGUUCUUUUUUUAGGACUUCCAGAUUUUUUUCCUCUGAAAAUUGGAAGUUGGGUUGGGGUGCGUUUCGAAGGAACUCUUUCAUCUCCGUGAUGGUUUUUCUUGACUCGGCUGGUGUAAAGGUGAUGACUUUGAUGGGGCUUGGGCGGAGACGAGUGCGCCAAUGGUCUAUAUAAAUGUUUGGUGUUUCUUAUAACCAUUCCCUAGGAGAAAAAUCUCCUGUUGCUUCUAUAAGAUGGGCUUUUCUUUUUCUGUUGGGCGAUGAUUAGAUCGUUCAGUGGUUCCAUAUCUGCAUAUAUGUUAAGCUCGAUGCAUUAAUUGAUGCUUUUUCCGCGUGUAUAUAGUUUGAUUAAAUAAAAAUUGUAACUUUUGAUUCAACUCGAGUUAGAUUUCCUAUUAAUGUGUAUUUAAUUUCAGAUUUAAUUAUUGAGCGGCAUAUUGCCUCACGGCUUCCAAGUUCUAACUGAAGUUGCUAUUCCUGCUGUUGGGAAUUGAGCACACAAUACUCAUUUUAAUCUGGUUAUUCUGUGGCAUAGAAAUAACCGAGGCAUCUAAAGCGGAGAAUCUUCAUAUUUAGUAUUUGGUGGCCACUGAUAUGCAUUUAGCGAUCUGUGACUUUUAAUUAGGCAGUGGAACUUAAGAGUCUUCGUCCUGGUCCAAUAACAACAAACAGAUAAACUGUUAAUUUGCCAUUUAAGUCAAUGACAUGAAGUUUUAGUCUUUUCCUGUUAUUUGACCAUUCAUUUAGUUCUCAUGUUCUGAAAGUAUAUAGUUUAGUAAUUCAUUUAUGUUUUUUCUUUAGCAGAGAAGUCAAAAUCCAAUUCCUCGUCAGAUGUAAAGAAACAGAGCUCACAGGAUGCAAAAGAGGCCUCAAAUGAUGGAUCUGAACAUAUUGCUGCUCAGACAAUUACAUUUCGUGAACUGGCUGCAGCAACCAAGAAUUUCAGACCUGAUUGCCUCUUAGGAGAAGGAGGCUUUGGCCGAGUUUAUAAGGGCAAGUUGGAUAGUAUUAACCAGGUCAGCAUUUGUUAUCUUUGCUGUGUUAAUCUUUUAUUUUUCUUUUCUUUUUUUUCACUAUAUUUCAUUGUGCUUGCAAAAACUACUCCCCCUCUCUCUCCCCCUCUCUCUCCCCCCUCCCUCCGUGUGUCAGUUUCAAAACUGGAAGUUAACUUUUACAUAGUUCUAAGCUUCCAAAAGUGAAUUUCGUCAGAUAAUAUUUUGUUUUCCAUCAAUAUUUUCACUUUGUCAAAAUAUUUGGUAAUCUUUGCUCAAAUCAUUUUAAUCUUACAUCCCUGCUUUUCUUUUGCCCCUUGCAUUCUCAAGCUAAAAACCGAUACAGUGGUCUGACUUUGCUGCUCUGCUUGAAUAUGAGAAGUGCAAAAAGAAUAGUUUCUUUGAUCAAAGAAAGCAUUAUUAAAUUGAUAACAUGGAAUUUUCUUGUGUUCUGCAUAGAUUGUGGCUAUAAAGCAGCUUGACCGUAAUGGCUUGCAAGGAAACCGAGAAUUCCUUGUUGAAGUUCUGAUGUUGAGUCUACUUCACCACCCUAAUCUUGUUAACCUAAUUGGCUAUUGUGCUGAUGGAGAUCAGAGGCUUUUAGUUUAUGAGUACAUGCCACUAGGAUCCUUGGAAGAUCAUCUUCAUGGUAAGCUACUGUAAGAUGCAUCAUCAUCAUACUGUGCAUAUGUUUUGUUGAGCAGAUUGCAUUUCUCAUAUACUAAAUGUGCUAUCUUUUCUGCACUGAAGUAUUCCUGUUUAUUUGAUUACCUUGCUUGCAACAGACCCUUCUCCGGACAAGAAGCGGCUUGACUGGAACACAAGAAUGAAAAUAGCUGCUGGUGCAGCUAAAGGAUUAGAGUAUUUGCAUGAUAAGGCCAAUCCUCCUGUUAUAUACCGUGAUCUGAAGUGCUCCAACAUUUUGCUUGGGGAGGGAUAUCAUCCCAAGUUAUCCGAUUUUGGCUUGGCAAAGCUUGGUCCUGUUGGUGAUAAAACUCAUGUUUCCACUAGGGUGAUGGGUACUUACGGAUAUUGUGCACCUGAAUAUGCGAUGACUGGACAACUGACACUAAAAUCAGAUGUUUAUAGCUUUGGGGUUGUUCUUCUGGAGCUUAUCACUGGAAGAAGGGCUAUUGACAAUUCUAGAGCUUCAGGGGAGCACAAUCUCGUUGCAUGGGUAUGGGACUCUUCCUUUCUUCCCAUUCAUCCUUGUUUCUAUACACAUGCAAGCAUACACACGCAUUUCGUAUCCCAUAUUUCUUAGGCAUUCAAAUAUUUCUUUCCAAGAAGCACAUUAUUAUCUCAGUCUGGUUAGCAUGAACAUUUAUUAUUAACUUGUGUUCUAGAAAAUAAUUUAACCUCAGAGCUCUAGCUGUAAAGUUUAAUGCACAAUGUAUAUGUGCAUGAAUCUUGAUGUGCCCAUGAACGAAAAAACAGAUUGGGAGGUUAUUUUCAGUUCCUUUUGUUCUUUAUUAUUUUUUAAUUUACUAGAAACUUCCAUGGAGUAACUUCGUUGCCUCUUUGGUGUCAUCCAAUGAAAUCGAACUUUCCUACUCUAGGUUACUGUUGGAUUCUAAGCUAUGAAACCUGAUGUAUUUGUUGACAUUAAGUUUGGGUACACAACUUGCCAGAAUCAUUUUGAAUCCUGGGUAGGCAUUGGCUGUGGCUAAGUUCCAGACAGGAGAGUCAUGGGUGCAAGUUGCAUUCCUGUUUGGAAGUUAGUUCUUCCCUUGGGAAGUGGUUCUUUAUCGUGGGGCAUUGCUUCUGCAGACCUUCUUACUAGUGGGGGAAAGAACAUUUUGGCUCGGUGCUUUCAUGGUUGAAUAUUUCAUUCUUUGCACUUCAAAUAAUAUUUCCUACUGUGAGGGCUUUGUUCUUUGUUAGGAUGUUCAUGCAUAUGGAUCCUUGUGAAUGUGCUAUAUGCAUGUUUGCAGGCACGACCCCUUUUCAAGGACAGAAGGAAAUUCCCACAGAUGGCCGACCCAAUGCUUCAGGGCCAGUACCCUGUGCGAGGCUUAUACCAGGCUCUUGCUGUUGCUGCUAUGUGUGUUCAGGAGCAGCCUACCAUGAGGCCUUUAAUAGCUGAUGUGGUUACUGCUCUCACUUACCUUGCUUCCCAAAUUUACAGCCCUGAAGCUCAGUCAAAUCAAAAUGCUUCUCGUUUGACAGCACCAGGUACUCCACCCCGAACGAGAAGGGACAGUGAGAAGAGACCAAGUGGCGGAUCUGAAAGAGACCAGUUGAGGGGACUAAAGUGAAAUCAUCCAUUGCUUUUGGCAAUGCAAAUAAUGAAUUCUUCAUAAAUGCUUCAAUUCCACCUGCCUUUCUACCAUCUCCUGACGCCAGAACAAUGAAAAGUUUUGCCUUGCAGUUUCUGGUGCAGAUCCCACCUUUACUCUUUUGGCUGGCUAGUAGGUGUCUGGUAAUCAAAUUUUGUAUCAUUUUCAGAAAACAGGUGCACCCUGUUUGAUUCAUGUCUAAAUUUUUCUAGGAAAUGCCUUUUUUUUUCCUCCCCCUUUUUCUCUUUGCUGUUGUACAUGCGAUUUCAGGUCCCUGUAGUUAAACGCUUCUGUUCAGACACCUCGCUCUUUUAUUGAUGUUCGUAUUAUUUUUUUUCUAAUCUCGGGUUUUAGAUGCAAAAACACUAUAUUUAUACAUCAUCCACUAAAGACUAAAGGUUUAUGUAGGCAUUCCCAUUUUUUAUUGUCAGCUGCACUUAUUCCUCGUCAGCUUUUCAUCAAUGGACCUGCUCAAAUUUCAGCUAUUAAGCAGUAAAGAAAGGUGGGCUCUUAGCAUAUCUGAUUCAAAUUUUGGCAACCAAUAUAUGCUUUGAUAUAUAAUGUAUUAUUGCUCCGACUACUCGGUUUUUCCAAAAUACCAUUUUGAGGGGCCAUGAACAUUUUCCAUUCUAUCCCAGCUGGUAUGCUGUCUGUGCUUUUCCUUCAAUUUCCAGGGUCCAAAAUGUGUUAUACGAGGAAUGUUAUUUUGCAAGCUGGGAGUUUUUGAGUCUGGUACUUGACAUUUACAGACCUUGUUGAGAGAAACUCAAAAGUGUUUGAAGAAGAAUGCUGAGGUCCAAUUCUAGUGGCCAGUUGAUAUGAUGAAUCCAUCUAUAUUGUGUGCUCUGUGGAUGGCACAUUCAUCAUCAUCUCAAUUGUCCAAGACUACUCAAUUAUAAGUCUCCAUUUUUCUUUAGCUAAAGCGAGUACUUGCAUAUUGCGAGGAGGUUGGCAGCAAUGCACAGCUUUAUGUGCUGUAUAUGGUAUGUCAUUAUUGAUAGCCAUCCAUUUUUUUAUGGCAGCCAUCAAGUAUUGCAUAGCACUUUAUGGUACAAAGUGCACGCCAUUGAAAAUCUUGUCAUACAAAUAAAUCUCAAGCUGCAUAAAUCGGGCUGCCAAACAACCAUAAAAUACUUGACAUAAGUGGAGAGUAGUUGUACCAUUCAAAGGUGCAUAUAACUAUUCCAAGAGAACCGGUCUAGACUAUUGCUAUUAUGGAUACUCCAAUUUAUGUGCAGGAUUAGCUUUUCUUUGGCAAGAUUGGUUGUCUAUUAUAGUUGUAACGUCGCUAUUCUUCCUUUGUUUUGAGUUGUUGCAUUUGGCUUCUAGUUAGACCACCGUUAGUUAUCUGGGACUGUAGAAGAUAAUUGUGCUUCCUGGUUGGAGCAUAAGCAAUGAUACUUUUCCUUGCAACAAAGUUACUUACCCAUGUUAUUUUUGAGAAAAAAUGACUAAUUUUAUUUGGAAUAUAGUAAGGAAAUCAUCAUUUCUUGGAAUAAAAUGCCUACAAAAAUAAAUAGGCUAGUGAUUAAUGAUAAGGGUAAACAUGUUGCACAUCCAUUUUAUGCCAAAAAGCAACCUUAUCCCAGAAAUUACAACCAAACAACACAAGAAGCAUAACUUUUACCAGGCUAUUAGGUAUAAGAAUUUGUAGCAAUAAAAAAAGGCAAAACUUGUAGGGUAAUUAUGCCAACAAGCAUAAUUUCUACUAUUCUUAUUUUUCUUAUUCCGAAACCAAACACAAAUCUAAGACAGGAUAAGGUUUUCUACAUAAAAAUUGCAAUAGCAGAUAUUUAUGGAGAUCAUAUGGCGAUUCUCCUGAGAGAUUAGCUAAUCAGAUGAUGAGCAUUGAGUAUGCCAUGAUUGGAUCUUUUAUCUUUGCUUUCUUUGAAAUUUUACUUAGAGCGUACUAUAUCUAUAACUACAAAUCAUGUUGUGGAUGAUACAAUAGAAAGGAUAAAAUAAGCCUUACGUGCAGCAACAAGCUUCUCAUGGAUUACAUCCAUAUCCACAAUAUCAAAAACUUUGGAUCACAUUAACCUUUUCUUCUUCAUUUAAAUAUUGGCCUGCAAGCAGGAAAUAGGAUACAGGUGCCACUUGCCAGAUCUCAUGGACUUCAAAAAGCAUUUGAUCCCUAACUAUUUGAGUACCCCAUAAAACAAACGUCUUUUCCGGAAUAAACCAAAGGAGUUCACGUCCGAUUGGCCAUUCAGCUCGUGAGAUUAUGUGCAGGUUCCCUUACCUAUUCUUUGAACCUCUUAAACAACCUCCAUCCACGAAAGGGGCGUUUGAUUUGACUCUUGAUUUGAAAUGUGAGAGAGCGCCGUUUCACGACAGGGAUUUGUAUGACCGCAAGUUGCCGAGUCGUUUUUUCUUUUUUGGUACAAAUCAUUGUUCUUUUCAAAAUGCAUGAUUCAGCUGGCUAGAGUUAAAUAACGGGUACAAGCAUCUUACCAACUGUCAAUUAUCAAAAUUAUUUAUUAGACGAAACAGGGUAAUGCUACUUCGCUGAUGAAAUUUAUACUAGUAUCGUUUUGUUACAGUAACAGAACAUGCUUGUUAUAAAAUCAGUUCUACUGAUCAAAUAUCCAUAUCCCUCUAUAUCAUAUACAUAACAUGAUAUAUUCUAUAUUAUUCUAUUCGGUAUGAUAUAGUGUAUCUAGAAUAAAAAGAAAGUUGGAUGGGUAUUUAAAGUUUUUUUUUUUUUCUGAAACGCGGCAUUACAAGACCGGUUUUCUGCUGCUAAUUAUGAGGAUCUUUGCUCUAAUAUCAUGCUGAAAUUAUCACUUAUUUUAAAAAUUUAAGCUGAUAAGAUGAGAUAGAUUUAUUUAUUUUUAUUUCUUUCAUCUCGUAGGUGGUAGGACACCACUUGGAAUCCCCCCAGACUUCUGGAUGAGGCAGUGGCCCGUAAAAAUAGCACCCCACUGCCAUUUGUGGAUGGAAAUGUUCCAAGUUUUGUAUUUGGCGAUGGCUCCUGUCUGUUUGCAUGGAGCAGAGCACUCGACCCCUAACUCUCGGAUGGCCAAAAUCUUGUGACCACCCUUCUUCAGCCAGCCAGCACAAGGAGGCCAUCAUUAUGUAGAUCUUUAUACAUUUAAUAAUUGUUCUUCGGGCCAAGAAGGGUGAACUCUAACGCUCGCCAAAGAAAAUCGUCGGCAGGGAAAAGCCUACCUCCAUCCUGGCUGCGCAGGUGAUGGUCCUUGUCGCGUGCCCGCACGACCCGCGGCACGCGGCAAUAUGGUCAAGCUACGGACAUGGAAGAGACCGAUCAAUACGGAAACAACGCAAAAUAAUGGCUUCCAUCUCGCUGACGUCCAGGCGUCUAGGAAUCGGAGAGUAAUAAAAUAGGGGACACUCGAUGAGAAGGUCGAGUUCAUCAACGGAGAAAACUAAAGUCAGUCAAAAUACGAUUGAUGCAUGAUUUUUUUAUGUAGUAUUUAUGUCAGCAUCUGACACGCUGACACGCCAGAGCGCUGGAAAAGGAAGAGAAGUCUGGAAGGAUGAUUCAAUCAACAUUGAUGCAAUGAUAUAUUUGUCCCUCGAAGUUGGUGGAAAGGUGGGCCCUGCGAGGCACUGGAAGGUCAUCUUGCGGUUGCAAAGAAGCAUCCUACCAUUCCAGUUGGGUGGAAAGGCGUCAUGGGUCGCAGUGAUCUUGCCGUCAGCCGAACAAGAAAUUUAGAGUGGCAGGCUCCGCAUAGCCAAGUAGAUCGGUAUGCGGUAGAAAUGGCGACGACCCGGGUCUGCCGAGUCGGUUUCGUUGAAUCGGCCUCUCUGAUCAGGGUUGGGCAGUCAAAAAUUUCCACCCUGAGAAGAAGUCCGGGCAUAUUUGGCAUCCUUCGUAUUUUUGUGUUUUGUUUUUUAUAUAUUAGCAGAAUAUCUCACAAAAAUUGGUAUCGAAAAUGGCAUCUAUUCGAAACUUAUGCUGCUCCUCGAUCGUCUUUAUUUUUCACUCCUUUUCGAAAGCAAUAGUUUACCAACUCCAAAUGCUUUAAAAAUUUUCCUUGACAAUUUCAAAGAACUAGAGGGUUUCAUUUUUUAUUCCACAUAAGUCAUUUAUCUUCUUGGGUUUUUAAAAAUAAAAAUAAAAAAUAAAGGCAAUACCAAACAAACUCUUGAUCAUUAGGUUUUCAGCUAAUGUAUCGCUUGAUAAUAACAUGACUGUAUUUUUAUUUGUACAAUAGUGACAGCAGUAUAAUUUUUGAAGCAUGCGACUGAGUACAAGAUUGACAUUAAUUUAGGUCUUAUGAAGCAAAGCAAGGAUAGUUUGUAUAACAAAACAAAAUUUGAUGAUCCCUGUGAUAAUUCCAAACUUGUCCCACUUUGCAUCAGGCUGGAUUCUUGUUGUAAGAGUGCGGACUACAAGGGAAAAUUCUCUGCUAUUCUGGCAUGCACUUUAAUUAUUCCUUCUAGCAGUUAUGUUAUCAAACUUAUAUCUGUUUAUUUACCAAAGAAAACUAUAUUCAGCAUAUAUUUUGUGUCUCUUGGAUGAAAAUGGUUUGGCCAGGCCACUCCGGUCGACCGGCCCCGAUUAUAAAACUCGCCAGGUCAGCCUAAGGACCAACUGUUAAGUGUUACCAUGGGAUCAGGCUCGGCCCUGAACUUUCUUUUUUUCUUUUUCUUUUGUAGAAAAGGUGGUUUUAUUACUAUAAGCUUUCACGUACAGGACCACGAAAUAGCUGCAUAAAGUAGCUAUAUACUUAGCAGUAAAGCGCUCGACAGAAGAAUAAACGCUAAUAUAACCAUAAGGGACCGAGUCGGUACGAACAGAGACACAGAGAGAGGUCUACGUAAGCCUAGAAAACACCCAAAGCCAUAUUCAUGCACGACGAGCGCAUAGAGCACAUGCACGUACUCCGCUUGGAGAGGGGAAACAGAAGGGCCACCGCAACGACAAGUGCUCCGCUCCGUCGAGGAAGAAGAUGUUGGAGUUUUUAACUUGUUAAAAAAAAUUAAAUUUCAAAAAAUAUAUAUAUAACUAAUCCUAUUUCUUAUUUGUUAAGUGUUUCAAAAAUUUUUAAACUCAAUUCUUUUUUAAUCCUACAUCGGAUAUAUAGAAGCAAUUUUUUUACUUAAAUAAUAGAUUUUUUUUCUACAAAGUCCAAAUCUAGCAUCCGCUCUGUUUUACCGUUUCCUCUCUCACUUGGAUCCCUGGUCCCUCUCUCUCGGUUACUCUUGCAAGAAGCUUAUUUCAGAGUGAUCUCAUGAAAUAUAGAACAUUCUAAGAUCAAACCGUGCUGAUUGUGAGAAAAUGCACUUGCUCCUGUAAUAAACAAUAAUUUAUUCUCUCUGUCUCUUGUGUCCGUACCAACUAAUUACACUCAUGAACAAUGGCCGACCAACUUGAAGCCAGCAUCUAAAAAAUUACAGGGAAAAUUGCCGAAUUUACUGACACUCUCAAUUGGAUAUUUUAUACAAUGGGGAAAGGAACUGAUCAUAUCGAAUGCUAUUCUUAUAAUUUUAUCGAUCUUCUCUAAUAGAAAUACAAUCAUAGGGCAUGACAACACAACCCGAAAUUUGGAGGCAUGCUGAUGUGCUAGUCCCUUCCAUCAGACAUUCUAGUUAUCCGAAUCCUGGUGUCCUUUCAGAUCUUUGUUCGGUGUUCUGGGGCUCUGUCCCAUGCUAGAAGUUUUGCCUUCAAAGAACUCUUCAGUAUUGCUUGGCUUACCCUGAAAUUUGAUGAAUCGAAAUAAGAAUCAGUAGAAUCAAUACGUAGUAACAUGCCUUAUGGAGCAACAAUAUAGCCCAAGAUAAAGGAUGAGAUUUAUGAUUUUUUUCUGACCUGAAUAUUACCUUUGCUGUUACAGAAUGCAUUAUUUACAUUAUUUAACACAAAGUAAAAGCAAAGGAUCAAAAAGAAUGCAUUUUCAAUUACAGAAAUGGCAUGCAAAAUAACGCCUUGUGUUAUUAUAUGGCAUGCAAUAUUUUACUCAACAAUAUCUUUUGGCAAAUAUGACCGGAGAUGCGCACUGCUUUACUUACUCGGCCCCACGUCAUUUAUUUGUCAUAACAAAUGAAAAGAACAUCAAGAAAUCCUCAGGAAACAAACAAUGAAACUAUGGUUUAUUAAAAAAAAAACUUCCAAAUACAUCAUUUAAGACCUCAAAACUACAUAUUGGUUGUCACAUUCAACAUUAUUACAACUCCUAAGACUUUUCCAGUGGGACCCAAAUUUUACAGAGAUCAUUUUGGUCAUCAUGCCGGUCAAGAUCAAGAACAAACAAUUCAGCACUAAUUACCUUUAUCAACUACUUGACAAGAAAAUCACCAUAUGCUGGACAAACAUACGACUGAUGUGGAUAAGCAUAGAAGGCAAUUCAGGAUUGCAAACAUUGAAAUUUUAAUGCUGAUUUUGAAAUAACUACCUUGUUUUUGUCAAGCCAGCCAAAAGGUCUGGAGAGCAGGCCUAUUUUCCUGGUGGGUGCAUGCUGAGACAACUCUUGAAUGGCCCGUGGAGUUCUGCAAAAAAAUCACUCAACACAAGUUCUGAUAUUUGACUAAAGAGCAUGCAUGCUAUGCCUAUAUCCAUAUACUGAAAAUGAGGAUUUGGUGCAGUGAGAGAGUGAACCAGCAUCAAUUCAAGGGUACAGUUCAUGUUAUAGCAGUUACUUUACAAUAACCAUCUGCAAGAUUAGAUCUAAUAGAAUCAAAAAGAAAAAGAUGGAGAUACCUUGGAGAAUGAGGUUGUUGGGCUUUAACCUGGCCAGACUGGUACUGUAAUGUAGCCUCCAGCAUCGUUUCCGCCAUCACAGCCCUUUUCUCCAUUUGUGCAAGUGCAGACACAGCUUCUUCAUAUUUUUCCUGCAUGUGUCAGGUAAGAGCAGGUAAAGACUUACAGCUUGUGAAGAAUAACCCAAAAGGAGUACAUACAUAUAUUUUGAUUCAGAACAUGCCUAAGUUAAAAAUAUUGAGGGUGCAAUCAGUCUCGUUAGCCUCCUAGGAAGUAGAAAAAAUAUAUGCCAAGAACGGAACAUCAUGAUUUCACAAUUUGGGAGCAGAUAUCACUUCAAGCACAUUCUUAAUUGAAAACAGAAGAUUCACAACUCUUCUGCAAUUAACAUUACAAACUGCAACUUUUCAGCAGAGCAAGAAAUUACUGAAUGUGAUUUGAAAGAACUUGGAAUUAGCAAAAAGAACAAAUAAAAAUUUUCAGUACCUUCCCCACAGACAUAAAUAAAACACACUGCUCAAACACGGUAAAUGAUGCCUAGUCUCUGAUCUUUAGUUUAACAGAAUUAUGGAUCCCAACAAAGUUACUUCUCAAAAAAGAAAAAAAAAUCAACUAGAGGAGAAAACUCCUGAGAUUGAACCAUCAAGAGGAACAACCUUACACGUAAUUCUGUGACAACAGACAGCUUGACCAGAUAACAACAUGCCAAAACUCAAAAGUGAAGUUAGUAAGAGGGUACAGAUUUUGAGUUUACACAUUCUCAAUUCACUUAUAGGCCUAAUGCACAUCCGUUUCCAUGAAAGCAGGAAAUCUGAAGGACAUACAAGACACUGGGCCAUCCAUGUUUCUAGAACCAUCUCUUACUACCAGAAGUAAAUUGGUAAUGUCACAGGUCAACAGUUUAAGAGAAAACCGGAACAAAAUCUUUCUUGCUGUGGCUUCACUAAAGGUCAAAAGAAAAAAAAAGAGCAGCAACCCCAGCUUAAUAUAACAUUCUUCCAAAGCAACCCCAGCUUAAUGAAACAGUCUAAAACCAUUACAACUCCUGUGUACAGCAAAUAUGAUUUUGAAGUACCUUGUAGUGAUUGUAACACCUCAAACCCUAAGCUGAAGCACAAGUACAUUUAAUCACAUGAUUCAACUAGAAUGAAUGCGGGGUGGGGGGGGGGGGAGGCACAAUCAUUAAAAUGCACCACAAAUUCAUCAGUGGGAAAGCACCUGGAGCACAUGAGCUGCGUAUUUCUGACCAGCAGCAUCUUGUUCGGCAGAUACACGAGCUUCUUCUGUCACCUUCUGUUCUUGUUCCAUCCUCAUCAAGACCUACACUAUAUAUAAAAGAGCUUCAAUUCAUGUAUUAAGACAGUCCUACUGCAUAUGAGGGCAAGUGACCAGACCAGAGAAAUGGAAAAGAUAUAAGAAGAAAGCAGCACCUGAAGAAUGGCGCGCUCUUGUUCUUGCUUAUCUGCAAGAGCCUGCCGAAGUUCAGAUACCUCUUUCUCCAACUGCUCAACCUGUCAGACGAAUCCCUUUUGUCAAAAUAGGAACACAAAGCGUGGCAGAGAGAAAUGCAAAAUAAUAUUCAUAGAUUAAAUAGAAGUUCAGAUACAAUCCAAGUAUCAGCAACACCAUUCCCCAGGUUUUUUGGUAAAUUCACCACUAACUCAUGAAAAAGAGGAAAAACUAGGAAAAAAAAUUACGAUAUCAUUCUCAAAAGUUAUGGUUCAACCAUUGGCGAUAUGGUGCACUCAUUUCUCCCAUGUUUCUGAAAUGGUUACAACAUAAGGCCCUGGUCUUCUUUGCAGCUUUGACGCAAUUCUAGGAUAGGUUCUGAGGUAAUUACACAGCAAGGAAAAAUCAAGGAGUUUGCUAAAGUUACAUUUCAUGCUCAAUCCACUCCCUGGUGUCUACUAGAAUGUGCUCCCAGAGGCAUCUUUGCAAUGGAUCUCGUUUUUGAGGAUGGGGGAAUGGGUAAUAAGUUUUAAAGAGCUUUUUCCAUCAGCGGUAAGUAUACCCAUUAUCAAGUUGACAAAUGCAAAUCAAACGGAAAAUUACAGACAGAUCUGAAACUUAAAAAAAAAAUGUGAAUAUAGCAAAAGGUGAAUUUUUAUGAUAUGUGCUGCUGGUUGUCAAACAGAAGAGAUUUAUCAAUAAUCUUUGGUGUGAGGAUGAUAGACAUAAAAAGAAAAUUGAUGUUAGUUGACCUAUAUUUUAUAUCCCAGUUUUUACUGUUGUCAAUAACAAAACAUGUGAUGCCACCAAGAAAAGGACGAACAUUAUAACCAGUAGCAGCAGGGAGAAUGUCUCAGCUGAAGAAAUGCCAUGUAGAGGAGAUGUUCUGUAAAGCAGUAUCAAGAUGAGAUAAAAUAGAUGAAAAUAAACUAAAUAAGCGAACAUAAAGCCUCUGCAAGAUUGAGGUUAAAAAGAUGCAUGUGCAAUGAAAAACCACCACACUAACAUGUCAUCAGUGGAUGGGAUUACCAUAGGCUGGGACGGAUGCAGAGUCAAACGACAUAAGUAAAAUGCCAAAUAGCCCACUUUGGUGGCAGUUNNNNNNNNNNNNNNNNNNNNNNNNNNNNNNNNNNNNNNNNNNNNNNNNNNNNNNNNNNNNNNNNNNNNNNNNNNNNNNNNNNNNNNNNNNNNNNNNNNNNNNNNNNNNNNNNNNNNNNNNNNNNNNNNNNNNNNNNNNNNNNNNNNNNNNNNNNNNNNNNNNNNNNNNNNNNNNNNNNNNNNNNNNNNNNNNNNNNNNNNNNNNNNNNNNNNNNNNNNNNNNNNNNNNNNNNNNNNNNNNNNNNNNNNNNNNNNNNNNNNNNNNNNNNNNNNNNNNNNNNNNNNNNNNNNNNNNNNNNNNNNNNNNNNNNNNNNNNNNNNNNNNNNNNNNNNNNNNNNNNNNNNNNNNNNNNNNNNNNNNNNNNNNNNNNNNNNNNNNNNNNNNNNNNNNNNNNNNNNNNNNNNNNNNNNNNNNNNNNNNNNNNNNNNNNNNNNNNNNNNNNNNNNNNNNNNNNNNNNNNNNNNNNNNNNNNNNNNNNNNNNNNNNNNNNNNNNNNNNNNNNNNNNNNNNNNNNNNNNNNNNNNNNNNNNNNNNNNNNNNNGAGAGAGAGAGAGAGAUUUCUGAAAGGGUUUAAGCCAAGAAUUUAAGGACUGCUGGUCAGUUAUAGGUUUAGAGGAAACAACUUAUAAGACAACUACUACAUGAAUUUUAGAUGGAGUAAAAUCUUUGCAUGCAUUAUUAAAUUAGAUCAUCAAUUACAGAGCCUACAGGCUUUUGUGUUUUGAUGAGAAAAUGAAAUGAAGAAUAUUUCAUGAAAAGAAACUAAAAGGAAAGAAAACAAAGCUGUUGAGAAUGUGGUUAGGAUACAGUGUUAUCCUGAUCCACUUGCCUUUUGUUGUCUUCUUUUAAUACCACUAUGCAAAUUGGAAGAAAAUUUUUUAAGUAUCUUAGAGAAAACCUCAUUUCUUAAUUUUCUGCUUGCAUCUCUCCCUAAAUUUAAUUUUCUCCUUACAUUUCUCUCCCUAAAUUUAUCUUUCAUUACCCAACAUUGGAAAAGAAUACCAUCCCCCUCCCCCCAACAAAAAAAGGAAAAAAAAGAGAACUUCUCUCACUCAUUUUCUCAGCAACCAAGCAGAACAUUAGUGUCAUAGCUCAAACACAUAGAAUCUUUUGUUGAUUAUAAUUAGAACUCUGCUGUUUCUAACACUCUUUUCUUCUACCAAACUACUAAUAGUUUCAUUCAGCAUGCUUAACUGUAGACAUGAACUCCAACACAGCCCAUGAACCCAGCAUAGAUGGCAUACAUAAACUCAGAGAAGAAGACUCCAGAACUAAGCAAGUGACAUUUCAAUUGGAGUAAAAAAAUGCAAUCUAUUACAGAUUAUAUGCAGAUAAUAGUCAGAGUCAUACAGGGAAAAGAAUUUUUAUUUAUAGAUGGCUAGAAACUUGAGCUGUACUGCUACUAAGCAAAAGAAGCUGUCCAAUAAGCAUCACAAUAAUCUACCUUGGCACUUAAAAGGCGUCUAUUAUCCUGCUUGACCAUCUCCAUGAAUGCUGUCUCCAACUCCUCAGCUCUAGCAUAGAAUAGGAACAGCAAAUAAAAUUUAAAAUUUACUAUGAGAUUAUUUGAAAUUUGCUUUUGGGAAGAUAAACCAUUAUAGUUGCAAAACUGUAUGUUUUAGAAUUGCAGAAACAAGAGAUAAAUGACCACACAAUUGGAUAUCAGAACAAACAACAACUCAGAAUGGCAAAAAAAAAAAAAGUGUCCAUGCAUUUGGCAAUGCCUAGCAGUUAAAAAAGUCAUUGGCAAUGCAUAUAGUUAAAAAAAAAAAUCAAAGUAAAAUUGCACAAACUACAUGUUCCAUGCAAGCCAAACAAGUAGCGCAAAGAACCUCUCCUUUUCCCUCUAAGCAAAUGAGGAACAUUCACUGAAACAUGAUCUCGCCCACAAUAUUCAGUGUCAUCGUCACAUUUUAAAGAAGAUAUUUAAGCUAGCACAUAAAAUUGAGUGAACUUUGCAUUCAAUGAGAGCAUAAAUAUCAGCUGUCCUAAGGAGAUUUUGUAUUAUCUAAUAUAUAGGAAUGUAAAUAAGAACGCUUUUUUAUUCCACUGUUACGUGGUUGGCUUUACAACUUCAACUUGGGUCACUCGAGUCAAUUGGAAGAACAGGAACAGCAAGAUCUUGAACAAGCAGAAAGAUACUCCCAAAUGACCCACUAAGCUUGUGGUUGCAUUUGCAGUCGAGUAUUUCAAAUCAAAGGAAAUCAUAUCAGGUUAAUCAAGUUUGGAAACUGAUCAUCCGGAGUCUCGAAUCCAGGACCCAGCAGAUUUGAAUCCAGUUAAGUGAACAGACCUAAGGGACAACUAAGUAAAAGAAUCAAUAAAGCAAUAGCUAGAACGUUGGUUAUAAAUGAAGAAGGGAGCAUGGUCAAACAUCACAUAGGGGUAGUGAAGGUUCCGGGCAUGUUAUACCUCAAAACAAAUUCAAGCAGAUGGCUGAGUUAAGGGCCUUAUGAGAGGGUCCCAGUAAUCACUCACAGGCUUUGCAACAUGACAAACAUUUGCAUGGAGGUGGCUCUAGUAAUCAUUUCUUGGGUAAAGGAAAUCGUCAAGAACAAGAUAAGAACCUAGCUGUUAGCAGUAGGAACUAGAAAUUAUUUGGGCCAAAGUAGUGACAAGUACAUCUCACAUACUUAUAAGAGGGCUGCUUUUAACAGAUUGGCUUGCUAGGUCCACCAAGCUCGGUAAGUUAGAGCAGAAUUUGCCUAGAGAUUUUGUUAAACCACAAAGUUACACCAAGUAAAGAUCUCCGACUCUGAAGAAGUUGAUGCACAUGCAAGGAAUUAUAGCAUAUAAAGUAGGUGAAUGAAAAGUAUAUCAUAGUAUUUACCAAUAUAUAUAUAUAUAUAAUAGUGAUAUAAGGACUACAUGAAAGAAUCUACUAGAUUAGUUGGUUACACUACAGCAAGGUCAUGCAAAUUUCUUGUUUCUUUUCAUCAAAUUCGUAGUGGCAAGUGUCAAGACUACAUUGCUAUUUAGCAAAUCAUCUAAUAUAAUAUCUUUUUCCCCCUUAAAACCUUUUUUCACCAAUCCAAAAAUAUAAAAUAUGCAGAUGUCAAAAUUCAGAGACAAGCUUUACAUGAUAGCAGUUAAACUAUGUAGCAGGCUGGCAGGCCUGCCUAAAGGCAACUCUGUGCCUCCUCUUCAACAUCUUACAUGAAGAUACCAUAUCAGGCAUAAUAAACUAAUUCUUCUCGACAUGGACAAGAGGGAUCAAAAGAAUAACAAAUUCUUCUUGAUUUGGACAAGAGGGAUCAAAAGAAUAACAAAUUCUUCUUGACAUGGACAAGAGGGAUCAAAAGAAUAAUUAUGUUCCGAACGUAAAAAGCAAAUGAACUGAUUUGGAGUAAAAAAAUAGGGAAAGGUCUAAGACUCACUUUUCUUUUACCGAGACAAUUCACAACAUAACACUCACAUGGCCAACCUGGAUAUUACAAGGACACCAACCUGAGAACAGCUGAUCUUUUCUCCUCCAGCAAUUUACACAGCUCGACCUUCAACCAUGUCACCUAGACAAAAAUUGCAUAUCAUCUAAAUUUCAACAGAAGUAUAAUGAAAACAAUGGAAGGGAGAACUAUUCAAGCAUUUAGACCUUUUCAAGAAUGAUUAACCAAUAGAUGUGUUUCAUGUUUCCUCAUCAGAAAACUAUGUGUUCAUGAUAUUCGAAGAAAACAGAUCUACCUAUAUUAUAUCUCAGCAUUAAAUAAAGCAGUAGUUCAGUAAUUCAUAUUGAUGCUAACAUAUCACCUUUCAAAUUGGAAAGAUGUGCCCUCAUUCUUUAGAUUUACAGAACAUUGAACCAACUGCAAACAAGUUCAUUACUAGCUAGCAUCCAUGAAGAAAGAUAUCUACAUGACCAUCUGAAAAUUCAUGGUCUGUAUUGUCGAUGUCCAAUAACUGGGAGAAGGCUUGUUGAUUAAUGUUUACAGUGUAUAGAUUCAACUGUUGAACUGUUUGCAAGAAUAUGGAAGCAGGAAUUCUUAUAUGCAACUUGAUUAUCUCCUCUUACUUGCAAUAGCAAUAUCUGGCAUGAUUAUCAACUCUUGCAAUAAUAAUCGGCAUGCUAGAGGCUUUCAAUGUCUUGUCCUCCUCGAAUAUAUCACAGAUGCAACAGAUUUUAUUUUGGUAAGAUGGCUAUAUUAAAACAGCCCUAGUGUAAGUACAACCACUUGAAUCCAAAACCAAAAAUGUCAUGAAAUUGCCCAGGAGCAGAGGAAACAGAAUCCCGAAGCACAAGCCCCAUAUGAUUGGCAAUGUGAGAAGCUACCCAAUCUACGGCACUGUUUGCCUCUCUGUAGUCAUGAUUGGCUUCAAAAGAAGUGAGGGAAGAAGUAAACCUCCAGACAUCCAAAAGAAAUGGAUGAUCACCUUCAAUCUGAUUUACCUUAUUUGUUAUCCAAGUAAUCAAUGUUUACAAAUCCCCCUUCAAAAACUAUGUUAGUCGCCUUCAGCAUUGAAGUAUCAUGUAUUAGACCUUCCCAUGCCCCACUCAGCUCAGCCAAAGGGACUCUGAUAUCAUAAAGACAAGUUCCACCCGCAGCCACAAAGGACAUAGAAAAGUUUCAAACCGCAAAACCAGCACCAUCAUUUCGAUGUAAAAGAUAAAGGAAACUUAAACAAUUGUAACCAGGCAGCCAUCAAUGUUCCAAAAGACAAGCAUAGUUCUUUCCUUCUUCGAAAUCCAAGGCUGUAUUUUCAACUACUAUCCUAGUGCCAGCAGACUUACUAUCCCCAGUACCACUCCCUACCCAGUAAUACCUUUCUGCUUCUUCAAUUGUUUUUGGCCCCUGCCACCUCAGCUUGAAGUCUGAACACAUCACAAUCUAUUUUUCUCUAAGUGUUUCUUCCAUUUUGCUGUUGAAGAAGAGUAUUUGAGUAUCAGAGGAGCAAUAUUCUGUCAAAUGGUAGAAGCAUUUGUCAUAUUUGAAACAAUGGGGCACGUGCAUGUCACCUUUAGGUGGUUUCUUACACAAAUUUUGAGAGUAUAGUUGCUAAUUGAAAGCAAUAAUUGAUUCAUACCAGACCCAGAGUCCAAAUUCUGGAUAUUGAUGAAAAGAAGAGAGGCAUCGAGAAUACAAUAUUGCUGCAUCCAAGUAGGUUGAAUGCAACCCAAUAGUGAUAGAGUGGUACAACAUUUUGUGCACUAAGAUCUUCCAGAUAUAACUCUCAUAGCUCAUUUUCUGUUAGAUAUAAUUUAUUCAGUUGUUUUGCUGAUAUAUUCAAACCAACAAGUAACCACGGCAAUAACUAGGAAUGAUGAUCAGUUCUUUCUAUACGUUAUUCAGCAUCAAGGCACUUCAGUAUACUGAAUAAUUAAGAUUUUAAGUAUAGAAUUGCUCCUCAACCAUAUCAUACCAAUUGUAGUUUAGAAAAAUUAGACCACUAAAUCAAUUUUAGCUUUGAAAAGUUUUCGUUUUUUAUGUUUUAAUACAUUUUACCUAAUUGAGUUACAUCCCACCAGUGAUGCAUCAGGCAGUUGAAGGAAGCAUGUUGGGCAGUGUCAUAAGUGAUAUAUCUAUAACACACCAGUCAUUUUAUAUUCUUCUCUGAAAGGAACUAUAGAAAUAACUUUGGUUUAAGAAAUAAAAACUUACCUGUUCUUUAAGAUCAGGUAAGGAAUCUGGCUCUGAAUCAACUGUUAGACUAUUCGAAUAUCCUUCUAUAUCUGUCGAUCCAGACUUCAAGGUAUGCAAAUCCCCAUUGGUUUGCGUAUCACCUAACACCUCUGCUGAGUUGGUUUCUGUAAGUGUCGAUCCUCGGUCAUGUUUGAAACUAUAUAACUUAGAUGCUAGGCCCUUAGAGUCCUUCCAUGAAUUAAGUCCUCUGGAUCUUUCCUCCAUGGCAGCUAUCACUGCAGGCCUAUGUUUUUUCCUCAGCUCUUUCAAUAUUGUUUCAUCUACAGCUUGAUAACCCAUGCAAGCUGUCAAGACAAGCUGGCUACUGUCAAAGGUAGAGCCAGCAAGGGACUGCAGUAGUGUAACAGCAUCUCCAGCAUCUUUUGUAGUCACGACUGCAGGACCUACAGAUUGACAUGUGAUUUUUUAAAGAAAAUUAUUAUGCUACAGUACUAAAGAAUGAACAAAAUACAGAAAUUAAAAGGAAUUUUAUUAAAUGAGAUCAUAAACUAAAAUAGGUUUGCCCCGUACCAUAUAAUUCCAUCAAAGCAAGUGCUGCUCGAAAUAACAUUACACGAUUUCCAUCAAAGAGAAGCACAUCCCAUAUACGAAGAACUGAAAUUAUAAACACCAUCACAUAUAAGAGAUCUUUAUCUAUGGAUACUAUAGCAUUAAAUUUUGCAAUGUAUCAAGGUGCAAGUAUCAAUUGAUGAGUUCCCAAAAGAAAAGGAACAUAUGAUACCAUUUAAUUUAGUAAAUGUAGUCAAUGUCUUGAUGGAUAUGGUAAUAAGACAUAAAUAAAACCUGACCACUUUCCCAUGGAAGCAUAUUCAUGAAAAUGGAAAGGAACCAAGGUCCAGUGACCCAUGCCACCUGCACGCCCAGAUAAUCCAAAUGAUGAACUGCAAAACAGAAGCAUACAAAAUGUGGAGUUAAAUAGGUUUGCCAAAGAGUGUGGGUGCAUGCAUAUAUAUGUACAACAAUACACAUAUACAGACAAUGAAAUACAGACCCAAUUUUGGAAAUUUCUCAUGCACUAGCUCCUCAAGAACAAGCUGGUCCACCUGAUGCAAAAAAGAAAAUAAAUAGAAACUAAGAUGUGCAACAUUAGUGAUCAGCAAUAUUAAUCCAUAGAUUGCUUCUCUUACAAGGCCUCCUUAAUUUCAGAUAGAUAUGCACAGGAAAGAGUAAAAGUGGUUGCUAGAAAGAUCCUACAAAUAAAUUGAUUACCUGAGAUUCAAUCAUUUCCUCAGAAUAGUAGCCAUCAAAGUAGUCAUCGAUGAUACCCAAUAAAGUCCUGUUGAAUUUUGCAAUGACUUAGAAAAGCAAUGCAACUGGCAACAUAUACUAGAAUAAAUAUGUUUGCUUGAUCAAAAAAGUCGAGUUUCAUGAUCAGCAAUCAUGAAACUUUUUUCUUUUGCCAACUCAGAUUUGGAACUAAUCAUGCUAACCUACCAAAAUGCAUUUUCCUCAGGCAUCAACAAUAGUAACAGGCCCCCAAAGAAAUUCAUAGCCUACACAGACAAUAUUUAGCACAAUUUCAUCAUAUGGAGAAUAGGGCAUAUAACUGGAAAUUCAAUCUAGGAACUAAUAAUAAAGAAUAAAAAUUCUUAACUCAAACACAAAUAAAAAUAUGGAAUACUAACAGGAAAAUCAAUAUGAUAAAUAAAGCUUUAGCUCUGAGGGGAAACAUAUAAUAAAUCGUAGGUAAAAAUAAAUCAUAAAUUUUCUUUGGUAAAAGCAGUGUCCUUAGACUUCCAGCAUAAUGUAAAGUAACAUCACUGCACAUAUAAUUUACCAGAAAUCUAGCAACCAAAGUGGGACUGCCUGUGUAUUUUGGCGAAAAGAAAAAAAGAGGGGGGGGGGAGUACAUGUUUGUCAAAUUUUAUGGAAACCCGAAACCCAUAAGGAUUUUGAUUGGUACACCGAAACCAUGUAAAAAAUGAUAUUCCAAAAUUAGCCAAAGCCUCAAAUUUUUAGGUAGAGUGGUUAAAACAUGAUAUUUUUAAGCCUUUUCUUUGGCUGGAGGUCAUUGAUGCAGUCCAUAUACCAACUCACAUGAAGAUCUGUAAUGAUUCAAAUCCUGUGGGCCGUCCUGGUUUUUUCAUGGAACAGGACAUGCUGCUGUCCCGCACUCUCCAGAAACUUGGGACAUUGGAUUUCCUGGGAUGUGCCGAACAGGAUGCUGGAACCACAAUGGGACGGUCCCAUCCCAACGCUUGAGACGGUGCCCUGUCCCAACAUCCCACAAAGACUUGAAUACUUGCUGAGGAGUCCAUGAAAUAUGUGAAAAUAAAGUAAGAUAAAUAGUAGUGCAGUAAUUAAAUUCUGAAAACCAUCUCCCAAAAUAAAUAGUAAUAAGAAAGGCACGUUAAUACACAUUGUCUGAUAAUAUAGAUACUUAAAAUACAACUUUAUUGUAUGGCUUAUGUUUAAAGUAAGCUCUAGACCAGCCCCAAUAAAAGGCUCAUCUUACAGAAAUUAACAAAGCUGGACCUCAUCUAAGUAGCCAGGCCUCACCAACUAUUAUGCCACAUAUCACCCCAAGAUCUGCUCUAUAAUUAGAUAUUUUCAUUUCGCAUGGCUCACCUUCGAGUUUCUGCUAAGCUUUUGUACUCAAUUUUUUUUUCAGACCCAUAAAGUCACAAGUUAAAAAUUUUACAAGCAUUCGAUACUUAUAAAUCACAAGCAGCAUCUUUGUAGAGAAUAAACAAAAGAAUAAGAAAUUGACUGCUCAUCUUGAUCAUAAGAGGAGAAAAAAAAGGAAGCUAGCUUGUGUUUAGUAACAGGACAAUUGGAGGAAAGAAAACAAGAUAUUAAGCUAGCUUGUGUUUAGUAACAGGACAAUUGGAGGAAAGAAAACAAGAUAUUCAAAUCCCCAUUCUUAUAGGAACUUACUUCCUAUUAAGAGCAAUUGGAGGAACUUACUUCCACAAGUCUUUGUAAUAUUAGGGCGAUUACUUUUCAGAUCAACUGAGAAAUCAAAUCCCCAUUCUUAUUGUGCUUUAUUAAGGACUGAUAAUUGGAAAAGGAGAAAGAGAUGAGCAAAGAAGAGGACUCUUUUGAUUUACUACCACAAAGAAAGCAUACAAGGUGAAGGAGAAUGCUGUUCCUGGAAUAAUAUAAUCAUCUCACUGAAUCCUAACCCUAUCAAGUCUACUAGGCUUAAUUUCAAAUCAAGAAAGAAAAUACCACAUAAUAAUUGUUUUGCAUCUGAUAAUGACUGAUGCAGUUCACAAUCCACAUAUAUUAUCACACAUAAUGUAAUCAAGGAAUGAACAAAACGAACCAUGCUGGCCUCCUCACAGUUCUAACACACCUGAUGUCCCGUGAACCAGCCAUUUCAACAUUUUUUUCUUUUUUUUUAGAGAAAGAGGGUGGUAUAACCGCCCAUAUUAUUAAAACUAUUGCAGGCAAAGCCAGGUUACAAAGUAAAUAAAAAGUUAUAGGAAAAGCUAAUAAGAAAGGAGGCCGAAGAGGCCAAAACCCCCAACUAGAAGUGAGCUAAUUUAAGAGUGGAUUCAGAACAAUCGAAGCUGGGCUGAGUUUUAUCAUUGAAACAAAGUAACCAACAUUUAUUCCUUUUUGAUUAGUCAUUCAGCCAUUACUGCUGGCCAUGGCAUUCAAAACCAUGAGCAGACACGAGAGUGAGUGCACAAACAAGGUUGAAUGUGAGUGAGGAUACUAUUAAGAUGGACACCAUAACUGCCAAAUUGAUGCUUUAUAGGUACAAUGCCAUGACCUCAAAUUACUCUACUUACAUGCAAAACUUUUGCAGAGGCACCACACCUGAAGAUACAUUUAGAAGUCUUAUGGUUAUGUAUAGUUAUACCAUUAGAAGCAGAAUUAUAGUGUAGUCACAAAUGGGUAUUUGAUUAAAUGUGACUCAUGUAAAUUUCCAUAUUAUAGCCAGAUGUCCAAAUAUUCCAUGACAUAUGGGGGCUGAAGCCACACUGGACCACACAUUAUGAGAUGUCCACUACUCCACACUCACAUGCAGGUGAGCUCAUCACCAUCCUUCCCUAUGCUCCCAUUUCUCUUUCCUUUGCCAUCUGCAUCCACUUCUAUCUUCUUCUUUUUUUUCAAACCAACCUAACCCUAACCAUGGUCCGAGUCUGAACAAUUUCACUUUCCUCAAACAGGUAAAGUGGUUGUCCUCAAAAUAAGAGGGUGGGGGGGGGGGGGGGUGUUGUAGCUUCCAAAGAUCAUGUACCAAUCCAUCUUUUGGGUUAUAAAGUCCAUAGAUUUGUUUCGCCAUAAAAAGGACAGCAUACAAAUGCCAGCUUCCUUUUCUUUUCCUCCGGUGUAUACCUUAAAUUCAUUUCUAUUUUAUUUUUUUUCUGUUAAAACAAUGGAUUUAGAGCUCCACUUUCUAUACCAGGUAAUUUCUUUGCAUUAAUCAAUGUAUUGAUUUGAAAAGUACUAUAGCCUAUGUUCAUGAAUACAAAACAAUCUAGAUUCCUAACAAAGGCUAGUUAUUCUUUUGCUCUUAUAAUCAAUAAAAUCUUGGCAUCUUCACGUGCAAACUUGUAGGAUAAUUAUUUUUCAGAAUAACACACCAUAUCAUUCUUGAAUGCUGCAAAGCUUUUGACAACACCUCACUGUACAGACAUGGAUUGUUCAUGAGAGCACACCCUAGCAAUGAAAAGUACUGACAAACGCACACAAAGAAGUGUGAGAAUUGCUUCUUCAAUUUUAACAUGUCCAGCUGUUCGAUAAAAUUUUGAGGAAAUAUAUGUCCUUUUUCAAUCACGUCAUUCAUGAUCUUCUUCAACAGAUGGCAGUUAACAUCAUAAAAUGCAUGAAUAUGGAGUAUCAGAUUCCAUCAAAUGAAAAAGCUUCAUAUCUUCACCAGAUAUAAAAAGUGACUACAAUACAUAUAGAAGACAAGAAGAACUACUACAGAGUCCAGUCUUGAGUACCUGGCAGUAACCAACUGAUGGAUUAUGGCGAGCAUAUGCUGUAAGCAAACGCCUCAGUGCAUUUCUCCCAUCGUCAUCUAAAGCGGGAUGCCCUGGAAAUGUUCGAGGCAAAUCCUGUAAAGAGAGCAUACAAGCCAUGCAGAUGAGAAUCAUUCAUUUUGUAGUAAUUUCAACAGCCCAGGCUUCUAUGAGAUAACAAAGGAUGGACUUUGGACUUCAUAAUCCUUUAAUCUAAUGACCUUCUCAAUCUGUGUCUUGCAUUUCUCAGGCACACAUCCUCCCCGAGGUCUUUUUGGCAUGCUAAGAGCGUCAUUUGGAAGUGAGGCAUCAGAUUCAGCAGUGUCAGUGUGUGGAGCUAGCAAGUCAUUAUAGUAUCCCUCCACCCUCCGUGCCGUCACACCCACAAAAGCUUGCCAUAGCUGCGAUUAGAGUGGAAGAUAGAUUGAGAUAAGACAAGCACCAGAUUACUGAUCAUGAGUGCAAUAGUACAGUAAUGACUGCACCUCUGCUCUGAGAGCCAUUGGCACUCCUCCGCGAACAAGGCACUCCAGCUCUUCUUUCCAAGGAGAGAAAGGCUCCUGCUUUGCUGCUGAAUCAGCAUUCCCACCGUCACCUGAAGCCGCCUCCUCCUGGACCGCAUCCGAUCUCUCCACAUCAUAGAACUCUUCCUCAGACUCUUCUUCCUUAGAAUGUCUUGCCACCUCUUCAAUUGGUGCGAGGCAAUUCCCAGUUCUCCCAGAUUCCCGUUCACUGCAGGAUAGGCUCCUCCUCUUCUUCACCCGAUGACUCAUCAACCGUUCGAUGGCAGCGAGAGAUGGUCUUAUCUGGCUCCAUGUAUGGGUUCUAUGGAUUUUCGCCUUUCCUUUCUCAACCGGUUCCUUCUGUGCACCAACUUCCUCGUGUCCAUCACAUUUGUCAAGUCCGCGCUGAUCACAGUCAUUUCCUGAGUCGUUUGGCGUGUCCGAAACAAUAUCUUCUGCCGAUGGGUCGUUGGACGACACCUGCGCGGACUCGGCCAGGCUCUGGAGGAAGUUCUUCCACCGAUCCGAUCGCUCUUCUUCUUCCUCCUGGAACCAUUAUGAGAUCAAGAAUCUAAGCAAUAUCUUGAUAUAUAAUUUUUACGGAGUCAAAUAUAUAUAUAUAUAUUGGAUGGAUUGCCUUGUAGAUUUUUGCAUAUUCCCGGUAUCUCUGCAAGUGUUGAGGCCGCACGGCAAACCCAUAGGCGUCCCUGCUCAGAUAUCAUACCGUCAAUUGGAAAAAUUAUAUAGAAAUCGGUCCCUUGAAACUGAAGAACUUAAGAAUCAAGAAUCAAUAAACCUAAAAAAAAUAUUGACAAAUCGAUAAAAAAAAAAAUCUAAUCUUUACCUAGACUCAACGUCCAUUAAAGACAAAUCAAUCAAAACACCAUAGCAGAACUCCGAUUAGAUCGUCCAUCGCACUAGCUCUCGAAGGACGCAUUUGCCACCACAGGUAAAACCGCCCUAGAAUCCGUAAAGAUCCCUAAUUUAACCUACUGCCGCGACAGUCGAACUGAAACCUAUCUCCUCGAACGCGUACACCACUAAAUCUCGGGGGUACUGAGGCUCUAUAUAAAUAAAGAAAUGCAAGAUCGCAGGCCGCAUUUGCCCGAAUUAUAAUUACGCAAUGCAAGGAAAAAUGGGGAAAAAAAGAGCACUAAGAAGGAAAGAGAAGGGAAGAACACGGAAAGAGAUAUAAGGUACGGGGAGAAAAGAAAUCCGCUAUCAUCUCGGCGGGAGAACAAACGACACGUGGAGAGAAGGGGCCGAUCACUCACCGCUUCUGCUCUAAAGAGAUGACGGGGAGGCUCUUCCCCCUCAUCGCGCGCUCGCAAUAUUGCCGGCGGAGCCGUGAUGAUCUUGAGGAGGCGCUGCUCCUGCCGCUGGCCGCCGCCGCGUCUCGCUUUUAGAUUUCUUUUAUUACUCCGAUUCAAGAACUGCCAGGUUCAGCGUGACAGUGAGUUGGAGAGGAGAUUAGGGAGGAUUCUUGGGAUGAACAAAUUUUUCUUGCACCAAAAAGAGGGGGCAGGCCAGAGGAGGACGCGGGUCGAGGAAUUUUGGGAAUGCUGAGAGACGGGAAAAUUGUGUGCGAAUUUCUAGUUGCUAACGCCAAACGUGAACCAGCGGGAGCUUGAAGCCUGGUUUCAGGGCUUUUGGGGGCAGGCAACUCUCUUUCGGAGCGCACCAUUGGAGCUUGGUGCCCGUUUUGAGAUGCUCUAACGGUUAAAUGUCUUUGGCUGAUGGCAAUGGCAGGGGUUCGUCUCGAUAUGAAAUUAUCAUCAAUCACAGCCGCUGAUUUCUAUAACAGUACAUCGAGAUGCAUGCUUGAUAAAUCGGAUCCACGUAAAUCAGCGGCUAUUAUUGGCUGUCUUCGUGGGGCCGAGCUGCAUGCAUUAGAGGCGAUGAUUUCUCCCUAAAUGGAGGCAUUCCGACAUGAGCUGAUUUAGAAUCACGGCUUGCAUCGUUUAUCAGACGGUGGAGGCUUGCUCACCUCAGAAACAAUCUUAUUGUGACCUUGUUAUGGUACCAUGCUCCUUUGCUAAUAUAGAUGUUUUGAGAAGUGGAUUGCUGCAUCUUUUCUUUAUGGUAGAAAUUGAACAUGAGUCAUUCAAUAAGUUUCCAUGCAUCAUCGUGAGAUUCAAAUUAGCCGUUUUAGCUUAAAAGAUUCCUUUCAUGUAUAUUUCUGACCAUCGUUAAAAUUUAUUAUUAAUUAUAAAAUAUAUAUCCAAUUAUAUUGGUAUUAGCUUGCUUGGUCAUUAUUAAUAUUUAUUAUUUAAUAUACAACAAAAUUUAACUAUUAAAAUUUUUUAUUUAUCAAAAUUUGCUAUAUUUGCCAUAUUGCCUUUUAAAGAUAAUUUAAAAAUGGGGAAAAAAUUUAUACCUUCAAUGCAUCGUACAAAGUCAAUAGUAAUAAUGUUGGUAUUAAUGAUGAGACUAGGUAAGUUUUGUGCAAAAUUUUUUUAUUCACCAUGCACAUACCGAUAUUAAUAACAUUGAUAUUAAUGAUAAAAGUUUUAAUUUGGUCAUAAUUAAAAUUUAUUGCUUAAUGUACAAUAGAAAUUUGGUAAUUGAAGUCUUCUACUAGUAUAAAUUUUAUAUUACUAUAUUUUAUUUCAAAAAAGUUGAAAAAGAGAAAUAUAUAUUUCGUUGUAUGGUUUAUUUGCUGGUAUAAUUUGAAAAUGAUGUCAGGAUAUAAAAAAUAUCUAUAAGAAAUUGAAUUAGUAUUGGCAAGAGGGAAAAAAAAAGAAGGAGAUUUUAGAUAAGUACACAAAAGCAAAAAUAAAGAUGUUUUAAGAUAUGCAUAUGAAAAUAUUGCUCAGCAUCAAAGAGAGGCUUCAGAAGACAACGGAAUCACGGCAGGCGGGAGGAAAUUAUAGCCAUUAAACAAAAAAUUAUAGAUUAUACCAAUUGUGUUACAAUAAAAUAAAAAAAAGGGUUACAAAAAAUUUCAAAAGGAUAAACAAUUAUCCUUUUGAAGAUAUUUUAUUAGAAAAAUAUAUUUUAAAAAUCAUCUAAGUCAUUGAAACAGUAGUGUUCUCAACAAUAUUGAUAAUAAAUUUAUUAUAUUAUGAUUUUUAUGUCCGCAUCACCAUUGCACCAUUGAAUCAUUGGAAUAGUAGUGUUCUUAAUAUUAAGAUCUGCAUAUUUUAAGGCUACAAAAGCAGCACGAGCCGACUAAAUAAUAUGAUAUGUCUGUCUUCAUCACCAUUGCACCAAUCAAAUCAUGUAAUUUUGUAUGUUUCAUAUUAAACAAUACCAUUGUGGUCUAACAAAUAACAAAAAAUACUUUGGCUAAUCAUAAAAAUGAAGUCAUGGGGGGAAUCUCUUGGCAAAAAACAUUAUAAGGGGUGCAUAAUUUAUCAUGAUGCAAGUAUGCUAUAAGACCCUAUCUCAACUAAAUUUCAUCUUUAGUAAACACUACCGUAAGAUUCAUCACUGACUGAUCUAGUACUAAUAAUACUUUUAUUUUGGUGAGCACAAGAUGUCACUGAGAUUUGCAGCGAAGUACGCCCGAGUGCAGGCGGCGGAGAUCAGUCACACUUUUUCUUCUUAUGGACAUUUGACAGCUCGGGAUAUCUAGGGUUCCCAUUCUGCUCAGGCAGCUUCUCAUAUGGUAUUCUUCACCUAAGAGCCCCUACUUUCGAGUUUCCUCAAGGUCAACUUCGACAGAUCUGUUUUAGACAGAGGCAUGAGGAAAGGUGCGGAUUUUGUCAUACGAGAUUCAUACUCCAGGGUGGUGGCAGCGGGCGGCUGCCAGUUAUUUGACACUUCGAUUCUUGAGACAGAGUUGAGAGCUACCAGGGCGGGUCUUCGACAUGCGCGGCGAGUGCUACAGGCCAGCUCAGUUAUCCUAUAGGGUGACUCGACCACGGUGAUCAGUUGGAUAUAGGAGGUCCGAGGGAUGUGAGCUCGAACCACCCUUUGCUUUGGAACAUCUGAAUAAUGACAAAGAGUGGUGGGGUUUUUUAGGCUAAGUAUAUUUAUAGAGAGGCCAACGGAGUUGCGGAUUGAGUAGCCGCUUAUGUGGCUAACCAUUUAGGAAGCAUAUGUGGCUAACCAUUUAGGAAGCACUUUAUGAGCAGGAGAGGGGGAGUUGCCUUGGAUACUCUGUGAGCUUUUGUUUUCUAAUUUUAUUGAGUGUAUUGGUACACGUAUUGUAUAAGGAACCCACCAAAGUCAAAAAAAAAAAAAUAACUAAUAACACGAACCUAGUCCCGUUCUCCAUAAGCACUGGUAAAAUAAUAAAUAAAUUUAAAGUAAAUAUGAGCCAUCUAUUUUUUGUUUUUUUGUUGCAUGCAUCAUGUGGUCAUAUACAUUAUCAAUCAUAAUUAUUUAUUUUUAUUAAUUUUAUUCAUCAAUCACCAAGGAUGCAUCUUGUUGCAUUGCUAUAGUGCGGCAGUGUAGAGUAUAAUUCGAAGGAUUCACCUUUCUUGGCGCCAAUCCACAGUCGGAUCACUCACCGCACAGCUCUCAAAGCAUUCCAAUCGCCAUCAUUCGUCCGCUUGCAUUUAGUUCUCAACGCGGCCAGCGGGUGAUCCAACGGUGGAUUCGAGCUAAGGAAUGAAUGCGAAUCCUUCUGUCGCGCGAAAGAUACAGCCCCGUCCGCGUCUCGUCUCAACUUCUUCUCGCUUCUCCAGAACGGAACCUCCACCCCUUCUCUCCCGCCGGCGUAGAUGCAAGAAAGCCCAAGCGAGGCAAAGGAUCACCAUUCUAACCCUACUCAUAUCCCCAGAUAUAGACACCAGCCUCGAAUGAAAUCCAAAUCCGAACCCCCUCCUUUCCAAAUCCAUGCAUCCAUCACUCCCUGCCGCGAGACUCCUUAAAGGCCGUCGCCCCCCUUCCCCUCCUUUCGCCAUCACCCUCCCUCCUUUAUUUGUCGAAAGCAGCAGCAGAAGAGGCCCACGCCCCCGGUCACCCGCCCCCACGGAUUCGCGCGCCCAAACAAGAGGUCGAGCAUCACGAGGAGGAGCGUCUUCGUCGCCCUAACGGGGAGAGGAGCGAAGGGCGUGGCUUCGCGGUCUGCGAGCGAGGGUGGCUGGUGGUGGAUGAGGUCCGGAUCCGGGCGCGGGCCGCUCGCCUCCGGGGAGGGCUCGCUGGGCGUGAGAAAGUGGGCGGCUGAUGGUCCGGACCGAGGAAGCGGCGGUGAGGGCAAGGCGACCCAAGGCUACGUGAUAGGUCCCAUUUAUCAGCACUAGAAUGGUGGAGGAGAGGUGGGGAUUAACGGGAGUUAUAGGUAGGAAGAGCAGCAAGGUUCGCCUAGAUUGCUGACGCUGCCCACCGUUCUCACAAUUGGUCGGGUUGCUGCCGUUCCUCUUCUCGUAAGCAGUACGUCUACUCUCUCUCUCUCNNNNNNNNNNNNNNNNNNNNCUCUCUCUCUCUCUCUCUCUCUCUCUCUCUCUCUCUCUCUCUCUCUCUCUCUCUCUUCUUUCGUUUAAUCUCUCGACAUCUAUUCACGUUUUUUUUUUCGAUGUUUGGUCGUAUGGUUGCUGUUCACAACAAAAGAUUGGACCUUGAUGUGCAUUGUUUUUCAUGUCUUAUUGGUCCGGAUUCACAAAAAAAAGAUGGGAUUUUGACGUGUCAUGAUGUUUUUUUUUUUCUCUUGCAGAAUUCAUUGCAUUUAACUUAAGCUGGCUGGCAAUGCUUGGUUUCUGAUUUUCUUCUAGGGGUCUUGGUUUAGGCUAUGAUUCAUGUUUCUCUCCCCCGGUAUUCUUUUUUUCAUUCUGCAAACUCUGAACAUUAAAACAAGGAGGCAAUACUAAUUUAUUUAUUUGUAAACCUAAUACGUGAUUCAGAUAUGCUUUCUUUCAUAAAAAGGUAGGAUUUUUCUUAACGUAAGACUAAUAUAUUAGAAAUCGCCUCCUUCAAGCAUGGUUGUUGGCUUUGGAAUUUUAAAAAGAAGUUUCUAAUGAUCAUUGAUCCUUUCUUUAGGGGAGAGGGGAAAGAUGGGUUUUCAUUGCAAUUGGUCAUUGCACACCAGAGUGAAAAAGAGAUCUAGUCCUGGGAUUUGAAGAUAUUAUCUUAGCUAGAAUUUAGGCACAACCAUUUUAUUUCACAAGUUUCUGCAUCUCAACCUCUGUUUAGAUAAUGUAACCAAUACAAUACAGCCAUCCAUACUAUUAACUUAGCUAGAAUUUAGGCACAACCAUUUUAUUUCACAAGUUUCUCCAUCUCAACCUCUGUGUAGAUAAUGUAACCAACACAAUACAACCAUUCAUAGUAAUGCCAUUGCCAUGACGUGUAGGAUUUGCGUUACAAGGGUUCAUAUGAAGCAUGAGAUUAGAAAUUUUGGCUUGGAUGAGACAGGAAAAAAUUUGGCUUAUGGGAGCUUAUGUUUGCAUCUUUAAAUAAGAAGAGAAUCAAGAGAUAUAUAACUAGGAUCCUCGGUCUGCAAAUGCUGAAAAUCAAGACUGAAAUCUGGUCUCAAACCUGACUCUGACUAUAGUUGAGUUUGAAUCCUCCAAUCCUUAUCACCAUGUAGUUUUUUUUUCCCAUCCUUUUCCAGUUUGGAUGGUUGCACAGUUCCAUGGCAUUUAAAGUCUGCACAUGUAAAAUCUGGUUGAAACUUUGACAUGUGAUCCUCAAAGGUCAGGCUUAUUGGUUGUAGUCCAUUUAUGGAGGGGUGAAAUGGAACCUGACAUGUUGAUUCUAGGAGUAUACUUUAUUGGUCAUGGACCAGGUAUACAUUCCAGAAUGUGUAGUUCUGUUUUUAUAAGUAUCUGUUGUAUGUAUGCAUGUACCCUCUUUCUACUGCUAUGAUGCAUGGGAGAUUUUCUUUCCAUUGUAUGCAGGUAUUGCAUUUGAAGAGAUUAAUGUCUUCGUUUUCUCUCACUAGCCUUCUACAUGAAUGGUUGGUGGGCAACAACUGCUACAACAAGCAUAUUUAUUGCUGCAGCUGUCACAGACUGGCUAGAUGGUUAUAUUGCUCGAAAGAUUUGUUUCCUGUAUCACUUGAAGGAUCCCACGUAUAGGUUGUUAGCCCAGUUUAUCUGCUUUAUGCUUUGGCUUCCGUAACAAUUUUCUGUUCAUCGGAUGUGGUUAGGAACGACUUUUGGUGCAUUUUUGGAUGACGUAGCUGAUAAGGUUUUACCUUUUCUUCUGUGCCUUCUUUUGCUUCUACUAUCAUAAUUGAAUCUUUGAUGGUUUGCAUUUUACAGGUCAAUUAGGCAGAUGAUAUUAUAUUUCUUUUUUUAUUUUUAUUUUUUCAGUGACAGUUUAGGAUUCCUUCUUUUUUUUGCUCGUUGAGUGCAGCUUAUAGUUGCUUCUACACUAGUAUUAUACUAUUAUCAUGUACCAGACCUUUGAAAGUUGCUGCAUUUCGAGUCGUACCUUGGCUUCUCACGGUACCUUCAAUUGCCAUUAUUUGUAGAGAGGUGAUCAUCAAUUUAUAAGUUCAUUUCUUGUACUUUUCUGAAUUCCAGGUUCAUUGGUAACUUCAUUUCUUCACCUUGAUGUUGUACUAUCUGUAAAUAGUCCAUGCUAUUCUGCCAAAUUCACCAUAUUGUUAUUCAUAGUGGGAUUGAUAUGGAUACGUGAUAUUCAAAUGACACCAUAUUGUUAUUUAAAAUGGGAUUGAUAUGGAUUUCUGGUUUUAAAAUGCUUACUGUUAAUGACUUUAUAUGUAUGUUUUCCUACCUAAUUGUAGCUGACUUAUGGAAUCUGAUGGCUUAAGAACAUUCUAUGAAAGAAAUGCAAUUAUACAGUUGGGAAUGUUAAGCAGUAAAUUUUGAAUAUAAGUUCAACUCAACCAACACUUAUCAUAACAAAUAUGGGUUCUAAAAGUUCCAUAAAAGAGUGUAUUAGAUUUUUGCUAAUUUGUUUUUCUUAUAGUUUGCACCAAAAAGAAAAUCUGCAAUAAGAUGUUCAUAGGCCUACACUCAUUAAGUUUAUUUGUAUCAUCCCACUUGACACCCCACCCCGGUAUGCGUGCAAAAUUGUGGAAUUGUAGUACAAGUUUUGUGGGGAAAAUAGCCUCUUUUAGCAAAGUACUGCUUUUUGAAAAUGGACCUUUCUGCACCUCUGUUGAAUGGAGCCCUGCCAAGGUAAAUGUUUUUUUAUUGGAUUGAGUACAGAUGAGCCAAUCAUGUAAUAUAGAACUACUUUCUGAUCCCAUGACAAUAUCAUCAUCAAAAAGAGGAAUAACAGCAACAAAUCAUGAAUUCUAUCAUAUAUAUACUCAACGAGUGGAAUGAAGCUAAAUAUCCUUGUUUCAGUUCAAUGAAAUUUUUGCUUCAAAAAGCAAUAAUGUUGUUGUUAGAGUUCUCGCUGAAGCCAGACAGGCAGCUUGCUCUUUGAAAACUAAAUAGGAUUUUAUUGAGUACCUGACAUUACUCUAACUUAUGCUUAUAACAUUUUUGUACGCACAGUCAAUGAAUAUUUCUCCCCAAUAUGCACCAUAAAACUAUGUGGUAUUGUGCCUCCUGCCUACUGUAUAUCAGUGAAAGAUCUGCGCAGUCUCCUCUUUUUGGCUCUAGAUGAUUUCAACAACUGCCCGAGCAGGAAAAAAACUUUGGUGUCAGCUUUAACCUUUCUUCACCUUUUAAAAUUCCAGAGCUUCAUAGUCUAUUUCUAGUUUUAAUUCUCAUCUGUGUGAUAACAUGCAUAUUUUCUCCACUUACAGACUGUUACGGUUGUUACAUUCUUCUGUUUGUAUAAUACUAUGGUGAUAUCUAGGAUUUCAUUGAGGAGAUGAGAUGACCACAUUGAACCAAUACCUUCACAAUUCUUCUGCUCAAUAUAUUAUUUCAUUUGGGCUUAUGGUCUUACCUCUUAUCUUCCUACCCAAAUCUCCCUCUACUGCCAUAGCUUCUAAUAGUUAGUCACACUUAAAUUCUUCAUGAUAAUUUCACAAAGAAGUAGACAAAUUACCUCCACUUGUUCAUGCAUUUAUGUGUGGUCAUAGCUUCUACCUCAUACAGACUGUGAGCAGCAACUGAAUUUCUUCGCUCCCUUCAUAGCCUCUAUGGGCUUUGGUCAGUCUUCCAAGGUCUGUGCUGAUUACUAAACCCUUUUGUGGGCUGAGAUAAAUGUAUAGAAAUCACAUGCAUGUGCAUACAUGGAGACCGAGACAGUAAACAAAGUUUAAUCACUUGGACAUCCUGUCUGUUGCUGAGCAUCUAACUAGUGAUAAAGUUAUUGCUGAUGUCAUCAAAUGUUUGGUAGCAAAAAGAAUUUGAUCAUUUUAUCUUUUAUGCUGAUUAUAGUAAACUUAACAUAUAUAAAAUGUAGGGAUGAACUGUUUUAUUCUCUUUUUGGAUUAUAGAAUUUAGAUUACCACCAUGCCCAGGAUUACAAGGAGCUUGUUAACUAUAUUUAGGUCAUAGCUAAACUGGAGAUGACUAGUCGGAGAGGAAGUUCAGGCUGAUAUUUUGGAAGGGUUAUAAGAUAUUUUCCUCUUUUGUUGGAACAUAAAACCGGAAGUUGGAUUCUUUUGGUAGGCUUGCCAUUUUAUAUUAAAGAUUAAUGCCAAAUCAAAUGAUCAGAACUUUAACUUGUAUGAAGGUUUUAUAUGAAAAAUACAAAGCAAUGCUGGAUUGUUAUGUGCUUAUGAUGUUGAGAGAAAGGAUUUUGUAUGUUAUCUUCACAUUAGCAAAGUAUUAUUUUGCACUAACUCAAGCAUUUACCAUCCUUUUCUGUAGAUAAACAUGUCCGCUGUUAGAGAGUGGGCUGCAUCUCAGAAUAGUAAAGUUCUCAAGGUUGCUUCUCUCACUUCAACUGCCUGUCCAUUUUAACACAUCAAUCCAUCAUUUGUGAACUUUUGGUAUUGACCUGUUUUGCCUAAUGGCAGGCUGUAGCAGUAAACAAUCGCAGGAAAUGGAAAACAACAACACAUAUGACUGCACUCACCAUCCUCCUUGCCACCAGAGACUCCAGGUUGUCGCCCUAUUCCUGCAAAUCAUUAUCUAUAUUUUAAGAUCUUUUUCCUUUUCUAGUUUUAAUGUCGGAAUACUUCACUGAACAUAAUUUUAGUAACUGUACAGUCUGACAGGGCUGGGUGUUCUAGUUACUUCUGGUGUAGUUUUGCUUUACGUAUCUGCUGGGCUUGCCAUAUGGUCAUUUGCUGGCUACAUGAGGAAGAUAUGGAGAGUUUUGCUUAAGUAGUUAUGCAAUACUUCAAGAUGGAUACAAGCCUUAAAUGCUGCGAGACUACAUUCACAAACAUUAAGGAUAUCCUUGUGGCAUCAACUUAUUGGCCAGGGCCCCCCUAAUUUGGCAGCUUUCUCCAGGCCAAAUGGGGACCUUUUCUUAUUGAUCCAAGCAAGGUAAUUGGUUGGUGGACAUGAUACGAUCUUUCUACAAUCAGAAGCAGCUCAAUAUAUUUGGGGGACUAAGGCCGUUUUAUCUUUGAGGCCUUCUCUGCAGUGGACCGGCCUAAGGCGAACUCACAUGGAUGCCUUUUUUCUUUCCGUUUUGUCCCUGCGGUGGGUCUUCUUUGGGCCGAGGCCUUAGGCGACCGCCUCAGCCGCCUAAAGAUUGGACCGGCCCUGUGACUACAAUGGAGAGGCUGGAACUGAAAUGCAUCAUUCAUUAUAUACCGCAUGUCGUUGGUUUCAUUAGCAAUUUUCUCAUCAGAAUCAGGGGAUACUUUACCUCUUGCCACAAGGACAGCUGUUUUGUCAAAUUUCACUGGACAAAAACAUUGCUGGGUUAUGUGAUACAAUAGAUAGCAACAUUUUGUGGUUGCGUUGGAAAACAAAAGAUUUUGAUCAUGGGAUGUUUCUUACAUGAAUCAAACAGGUCCUGAGCAGGCGCCGAUGCAGCAUUUUUCUACCAUUAUAAUUGAAGUGUAUCGUUCCAUGUUGGUAUCUUUAUCUGCUAAUAUUGUUAAGUAUGGUUGUUCCUUUUUUUUCGUUUUUGAUUUUUUUGCAAGCAGGCAAAGUAUAGGUACUGAGCACAAUCAUAAUGCUACAUACAUCCUACAGAGGUGAGUAUGGUAAGUAUAAUUCUUGCAAUUUGGGAUUGUUCGGCUUGUUUGUAAGCUUACAGUCCAUGAUCGAUGUUCUGGUCGGACUAAUGGUAGAUCUCUGUUUACUAUGAAGUCCUACUGCAGGUUGGGCAAAAAAAUUUCCUGUGUCUAAUACUAAUCAGGAUUAUGAUGGCAUCAUGGAGGAGAAUAAGGAGAAAAGCCUUCCUACUUUUCCAUUUGAUCUGAAAUAAAGCCAAAAGCCUUUUGUAAAACUGCACUGAAUAACCAUGCAUCCCUCGCAAUCACGGGUGGCUUGGUAUUACGUUUCCCCUGCCACAAUUCUGAUGAAUGCGUAGUAUAUUUGGCUAGGUUCACAUGCAUUUCCUGUGUCGGCCCUUGGUCGUCGAACAAAAGGGGAAAACCCACGCCUUAAAUGGCCACUUCUUGCUGUCACUUCCAAGCUCCUUUGUCCCAUCUUUCUUCCUUGUCUCACAGUUUCAGGUCACAUGAUCGCUUCGCCCGACUGAUGCCAUCAUUCUGUGGUGACCACCAUGAGACUUCAAAUGUCUUAUCGAGAACCUGAGGGUAUAACAAGUGAACAUUAUUGCGUUGCUCUCCGAUUGGUGGCCCCACGCUUCGAGUGCAAGCCAAGCCAACAAAUCAACACCUCAUCCCACAUUUCUCUCAUCAUGAUCGACUGCUCGUGUCAGCCAUCCAGGCUACGAGGUAAAAAGAGUGGCAUUUGGCGGGGAUAGAAAGGGGAACAAGAGAACGAGAAGGAUCGUGGUUGCUUUUGUUCAAGGAGAAUCAUGUUGUAUUAUUUUAAUUUGAAUGGGUUAAUCAAACUAUAUAAGCCCUAUAAAUCAUGGUUCUACAUUUCGGUACCGAUUUAAUGUUAUAGAUGUUGGUACGUUAUUUAUAUCGAAUAUCGGUAUCAAAUCGAUAUGGUAUGGUAUAUUUUAUGUCGUUUGAUUUGGGCCGAUACAGUAUAUUUUAUAUUAUGUAAGGGUACGGACGGAUGCUGGGGAAUCUCAAAGAUAAAUACCAGGUGCUGCAUGUUACGACAUAAAGGUAAAGGCACGGGACACGAAUGAAUGCAUAUUAAGACACCAAACAACCGUGCCGCAAACACGUCACGAGCAUUCUCCACUGUAAACGCUCCGAGAAUAUAUAUAUAUAUAUCGUUCAAAUCCCCACAUGCCAAGAUCCAGCCAUUCGGCCACAUCAAGUUCCGGUGUUCCUCCGGCACAACAAAUAAUAACCCUUUCCCCGUCCUUUCGACUGAGCCCACGAGCCGGGUCCAUUCCUUCUCCGUUGCCGGUCUAGACAACAGAGACCGAAGGGAAGACUCCAAGACCCGAGUUAAUUCCGAAAGCUGGGUUCGUCCUGUUUUUUGGUUCACUUUUAAAGGGUUACAACUAGGACUUCCCAAGGUCACCCAUUUUAAUACCAUCACUUAACUGCAGCAGAGUUUUGAUGGGAUCCGCUGCAUUAGUGUUGAUAUGAUCGCACCCUAUUCGUCCUGUUCACUGCGAGCCUUUAGCCUCCCUCUUCUCACGGAUGGAAACAGAAGCACAGAGCGAGAGUCCAGUUCAAAUGCCUGAAACUGAGAUGCAAGCCAAAGGAGAGUAGAUAACGGGGGUCUGAAGUUGAUGUCCUUCCUCAAUGUUUCGUGGUCUUAUUAUUGGCCAUUGCUGUGAUUCCAUUGAGGGUGGUGCGCUUCGAAAGAAGAUUUCAAUGAGGGUGGUGCGUUGGUAUUAGCGGAGGAGGAGGAGGAGGUAUUAUGAUGGGGAAAGGAGGGGAUGAUGGGUUCAGGACCGUGGAGCGCUUGAGGGGGAGGCUGCAGGCAGAGAGAGUGGCCUCCAAGGCUGCCAAGGAGCAAGCAGACAGCAUGGCCAAAAGGGUACCCAUCAUCAUUCUUAACAGGACUGUGGUUUUUUUUUUUGUUAUUCUUUAUUUUAAUUCCUUUUCAUGUUUAUUUUUGAACAGUUGGAAGAGCUGGAAAGGAAGCUGGCUGAAGAGAUGAAGUGCAGGAACAGGGCUGAAAAGAGGCUCGAGAAUGCUUUGAAGAAGCUGGAAUCUUUGAAGAUUUUGGAUUCCCCCGGAAGUUCGGCGAGUUCUUCGUCCUCGCAUUGCUUCUCGGGCCAUCUGAAGUUGGAAAGCUGGGGACUUGGUUCGCCGACCGUCGAUUGGGGACAAUGUGGUUGGCAGGAGGAGGCGCCACGGCUUCUUGGUGAUGAUGUCUCAGGGAGCUCACUGGUCGUUUCGACUCAUCGUCGAGAGCGAAGCUGGAGUUCGGCUGGGACGGCACCACCGGAUCUUCACAAAGGAGAGUCUCAUGGGGAUGAGAGCAGCAGAGGUGGCAGCCCCCGAGUGUCGAUUGCUGAUAAUGCAAGGUUAUGUUCAUUCACAGUUGACAUCGCAUCGAAUCUUCUGACAAUUUCUAUCAUAAGUUUCUUAUCGAUACACUAUAACCAGUAACACUAGAUGCUGAUGAUCCUUGUCAUUGUGGAUAGAACCUAAAGUACUUCAAUCCUUAUUAAUUCUUUUCAAGUGUUUUUAUCAAGGAUGACAUGAUUCUAAAAUUGGGCAUACUUGGGGAGGUUUAAAAAGAACAUGAUAACAAAUAAUUGCAUAAUGCUCGGUCAUAGAGUCGAGUUAGAUCGCCUUGGCCAAAAUUAUAGAACUUUGAGAACCCUGUACUGUCUGAUUACAUUAGAAAUGAUGGGGAACAGGGGAGUUUUAGCUACAGAACUGUAAGCAGGAGUAUUCAGGGAGGGAAAAAACAAGAUUAUUCAGCAUGUAUAUAUGAGUUCCUGAAGUUUACCAGAUAAAGGAUGAGCAAAGGUAACAAAAGGCUGAAAAGUCACUUGACAGAAGCACUAGUGCUUCUACUUUUAUUUUUAAGUGAACAAAAAUAAAAAUUGUCCUAGUGUUCCUGAAAACUUUGUCAUACUAUUGCCAAAUCUACAAUUUUAUGUCUUUUAUUGCAACUUGCCGCAUUUUUUCCUAUGUUUAUUUUUGAGUUAACAGGGUUAACCUCCACCUUUAUUCACUUGAUUGCAUUUGAUGACUUUGAUUUUAUCAUAUAAGGUCAUGGUCUCUCUACCCUUUUCACUGACUAAGUUGUUUAUCUCACCCCUCUCUUGCAAUAGCAAAAUGCCAAAUUUCUUUAUUAAUAUAAGUGCAGCAUUUCAUAAUCUGAAAAAGGCAAGUUGAUAUUCAUAUGUAUAUAUAUAAUAUUUUGAGAAAAAAUGGAUAUUGGAAUGACAUAUUAUAACCCUAAUAAAGGAAAUGCCUUGAACAACUAGAUGUUCAUCCAGGAUUGUGCUCUGUGGUUGGUGAUUCUUGAUGCCAGAACUGUAAUAAACCAAACUCAUGGAUAUAGUAAUAAAUGUUUUUAAAGUUACAUAUGAUUAUUUAGGAGUGUUUAUCUUUUGGUAGAAGCUUAUAUACAUGGUCAAAUUAAAAUGUUUGUCCAGUAAUAGUACGGAACUUUGGCAAACUGCCUUAGGCAGUCUUAGGCAGUGAUACUUAUAAAAGCUUCAGUGAGACACAGGUGGUGGGCAGGCAUCUAGAGUUUAGAUGACCUAACUAUUUCGUUACCUUUCUAUUUAGAUAUUGUAACUUGUAUCUCACACACAGAAACACUGAUGUAGUUUAUCGAAAACUUGUGAGAGAAACAUCAACGUAAAACUAUCAAUACUUUCAACUAUUUGUAUAUACCAUGGUUAUGGAAUCUUUAAGCAAUGGAUCUAUAGGGAACCCAUCCAUUGGAGUAGAAGAGUUUUUAUAGUUUCUUUUGAUUUGUUAGAAGAAUAUAAUAAUAUUAUAGCAUAUAAUGGCAUGACUUAGAUUUAAGUAUUCUACUUAAUACUUACUAAUCAAGCUACAGGUUAUAGGUAUCCAUGUUAAGCCACUAGCCAGAGCAUUACAUGAUCAUUAGGCCUUUAGGUGCCUGCACAAGCAAACUGUUACUUUGCCUGGUACCAAAGCAUGUGGUGGAUGCAAUGCAAUGGUUGCCAGGUAUGCAAGUGGGACUACCUUGACACUUCUGUGGCUGCCAGUGUUACAAGUGAAGCUUUGUUUCCUAAAAGGAUAAAAAAUCAACAGAGCUUUGGGUCACCCAUUUGAUUCAGCAUUUAUCUGCUAACUUUCCACUCAUUCACAACUUGUAGUGAUGAUAUAUAGUUUCUGAUGCAUUGCUACGUAAACAAUAGUUAAAUAAAUCUAAAUAUGCUAACAUAUCAUGUAUCAUACGCAUUUAGUUGAUAGUAUUUUUCUUUAUUAUGCAAAGUCGAAUUCUGUAUUUUCUCCUUCAUAACCUUGAAAAUAUUGCACAGUAUCAUUAAACUCAUGUGUAUAGGAGAGAAACACUAGAACUUUCUUCUUCACAAAUUUCCUGAGAAAUAUAUGAUUAGCUGUAGGGAAAAGGAAACCUACUAAGAGAAAAAAAAUCUGCACCUGUGUUCUUGAUCAUUGUCCAAGAAUUGGAUCAUCAAAAGAGAUAUGAUCAACAAUAUUGAAAGAAAGUACCGACUGAAAAUAUUUAGCAUCCAUGGACAAUAGCUAUUUACAAGCAUCGAAUCAAAAUCUUGUAUCUCCUCUUUGAUCCUGGGUGGCUAAGAAAAGCACAUUUCAUAACUAAGGAAUCUAAUAUUAACCUGUUGGAUCCAGAAUUUGAACAAAUCAGACAGAGCCUCAUCACUUUUUAGGAAUGGGGCCAUGGCAGUUUAUAAAAUGAGACUGAAACUAAUGUGCAAUGACAUUUUCUAAAAUAAAAGCAGUAAAUGCAGCCUUAGUCCCACAUGUAUUAGGAUUUCUCAUGCUAUGCAUUAGUCCAAGAACAACCUCCAGAGAAGUCUACUUUUAUUCCUCUUGCACAUUUUGCUUGUUCUGUACCUGGUCUCUCUUUUUUCUCCUCUCAGCCACACCAUUCUGCAUAUGGAAAAGAACCUAUAAUAAUUUAUGACUACUUUGUCUUCAUAAUAUGUUUGCCUGCAAGUUAACUGACUUUCCUGGUUGCAUCUUGUCAAGCCCUCAUACAGUUUAUCAUCCUUUGCUCUCAUUAAGCUGAUCCAGAUGACAUGUUAAUACAUAUCUAUGAUUGAUAUAUUGAGAAAAAGCAGAUAUAACUGAAGACCCCAACUAUCACAAUAAGCAAUGCCCAAAAGAAUCAGAUUUCAAUGGCAGUGGUUAUGAAUCAACUGGAUAUUGCUACCAUAGGAUCUCUGACUAUACAUGACAUCUAUGUCAUGCACAUGACAUGUGAAGAACUUACACUUCACAUAUACAAUCUCUUCCCAUAAACCAAGUCAUACAACACACAUGCACAUGUGUGUCGUGAACAUUUGUGUUUGUCAUUAUGGACAAAGGCACCGAGUUCGCUUUUUAAGAAUAAGCAUUUGUUGUCCAAUAGCCAACCCAAACUGAUAUCAAGGUCAGGUGUACCCUUCAUGUCUAUGUCUAGAUCUAUAUUCUAUAACAACUGAAAAAUUCUGAUGUAAUAGUUCAGCAAUGUAAAUCCACUCUUUGGAGAGAGUAGCAAAGUGAAAUAAAUGAAGCUUGUCCAAGCAAGUCAGAAUGAGUGCAGGAAACUUCCUUCUUUUUAUAAAGAAAAAAUGCAGUAGUUUAUCAUUGUAGAAUUGAGAAUGAAUCGUGAACAUGACCAAGAUGUUGAAGCCAGAAACUUGAAAUAUAGGAUUUAUUGUGCCUUUUUUUCUCCCAGCUAGUGUUAAACUCUCUCUCUCUCUCUCUCUCUCUCUCUCUCUCUCUCNNNNNNNNNNNNNNNNNNNNACUCUCUCUCUCUCUCUCUCUCUCUCUCUCUCUCUCUCUCUCUCACUCUCUUCAAAUGCUGCUUAUCAUGAAUUCAAUAAGCUUACAUUUUUACAUCUUGGACCAGAAAGUCUUCUGUCAGUGAUAACAAGCUGGACGAUGAUGAGAAUCAAACUGAAGAGGUCGACAAUGCAUUGGCUCUAGUUCCUGUAAGCUUGCGUUGCAAUUUGGAGGGCUGCAAGCCAGAGAUCAACAACAACGUGCAAAGUGUUCUUAUUGCCCUAAGACAUGUCAAAGACCAGUUGCAAUAUUCCAUGAGGAGAACUGGUGUUUUCUCUCCCAAAGAGCUGUAUGGCCGGUGAGGGAGAUUGCCUUGAGGGCCUUUCCAUCCCACAUAUCUCUUUUAUUUCCAGUAAAUAUUGUGGUAAAAUAGAUGGAAGGUCAGUGAAGUAGCUUCAUAGAGGGUUUUUGUUUUGGCUAGAUGAUAUCAUAUGUUACUAAUAAUGCAUCAAUUUCAAGACUUAUCCUUCUUGUAAAGUGCAGCUGGAGGUUUUUCCAAUGCGUAAAAAUGACGGAAGGUUUGAUCAUAAGCAUUAUAAUCUGCAAUUGCCCAGCUGAUAUCAUGCCUUUUUUUUGGGGGGGGGGAUGCUGGAGAGACAAGGAGAAAGGGUUUCUGAACCAAUUGGCAUUUUAUCGUCCCUUUCAUUUCACCUUAUUGUUGCCAGUUCCUUCCUUGCAAGGAAAAUGAGGCAAGUUCAAGACAUUUUACUAACAAAACCUGUUGCUCUCUUGGUGGUUCUCAAUCUGCCCUUAAGUAGCACAACAGGAUAGUUCAUUCAUGUUCCAUCCUUUCUUAAAUUCUUGAGUGAAUUCAAGUUGCUAUAGAGAGACCUACCGCCCUAUGUUUAUCUAGGUCCUAAUAAUUACUAGCCCCAGUUCAUUAAGUGAAUUCAAGUUAAACACAUGCCUUCAAACCCGUACUCAAAGAUUGGAUGCUCCCUUUGUUCAUCCAUGUCGGAUUUGCUCCAUGAAUAUCUCUAUGCCAUUGUUUCAGAAAAGGCAGUUCAAGUUAGAUUUAGUAUUUACAUAUAAACCAACAACAAAAACAUGGUCGCCAAUGAAGAAUUUCUAGAUUAUUGUCAUUGUUGUAGAGCUGGGAGUCAAACGAAUCCCAUGGCCAAUAACCAAACCAGACAGAAUUUAAUUAACAGAAUUGCUGAUUGAUAACUUCAUUAUUACAAUAUUCUAUGAAUUAUUGGAAGAAUUUUUAAAUUAUUUUUUCUCUUGAUCGAAUGAUUCUCCAAACUAUUCAUUAAUAAUGAAUCGAUCCAGAGCUAUUCAAUUAUUUUUGAAUUAUUUAUGAAUUUUACAAUUUAUUCACAAAAUUUUCAUGACUAAAUAUUUAUAUACGUUACAAAUCAAUGAUACCAUAUUUCUUUGCUAGCAGGGCUGUUGUUUUGCUACUAUUUGUUAUUUUUAUCUCCUAUACUUAUUCGUAAGUAACCAAACUUUUAAAUAUUUUUAAAAACAAUAUUUCUAAAAAUUCUAUUAGUUUUUUAACUUUUUAUUAUCCAUUUUUUUCCUCCGAACUCUUUCUAAACUUCUGAUAAUUUUUUCAUACUUUUCCCCAAUUCUGGGUCAUUAUAUCCAUCUGAAUUAUUCCCAAACACCAAGCAUGUGAUGAUGUACACAAUAAAUCAGUCAUAUGCAUCUACGUACUUUGAACAUAAGCUAUCUUAAAAGCUCUAGAGUCAAACAGGUUUGGAUUAAGCGGGUACGUGAUCAAGAUUAAUUCAGCAAAUUACAUUUCUAAAGAAAGUUACGUAUUUAUUUCAGCCUGUCUAAUUUCUAAAACCUUGAAAAAAUUAAUUAAUAUUGAUAGAAAUAGAGUAAUGAGCAUUAGGAAAACAAACUAUGAUGCACCACAAGGUCCGACCAUAAACAAGCUGCCAUAACAAACCUGUCAUUUCCCAUGCAAUUUGCUACAAGGUUUUAGUCAAGCGUGAGAAUUGCAAACCAGCAUCAUUCUUUAUUUAUUUUAUCACAUUUAUGAUAUGCCAUAAUGUUCGACCUCUUGUAAGAGUAACAAGAAGCUAUAAUGUAUCACCUGUUUCCUCUUGUGAGUAGCAUCUAUACCUUGAAAUAAGCAUCUUUAUUUUACUUCACCAAUGAACACACAAACAAUAUUUGCCAAAUAUUCCACAGAAUUUCAAAAUGAAUCAGCAUCCAGAGCAGUAAUGGUCUCAAUCAUUUCAAAUACACGAGGACUUCCAGCAACUGCUGAACUUCCGAUGCUGAAAAAAGAAAAGAAUAUAUGCAUCUUUAGGGCUCAGAAAGAUGGUUUGAAUUUUGUGUCAUUUGAAUUCUUUGAAAAUAAUCCAAACAAAUUUUACAGCCAAAAGAGUAAGUUACCUCAGAGAUCGGCAUUCUAGUUCUCACAGAAUCAAUCCUUGAGAGAUCAAUGUCAGCUACAGCAAUUCCAGUUGAUAAACGAUCUGUAACAUGGAAUCAAAUUAGUGUCAUGAACUACACAAUCUUUAACAUGUAGGCCUAUCAACAUGCUAAAGAAAUGGCAUACAGGUCAUUUAUCUCCGUGCAUUGUGUGGCGUUGGGGAUAGACUCCACAUCAGAGUAAAGGUUUCUUGUACUAAAAAAAAUGGCAGAUUACAGUCUUGAUAUUUCUAUAACAAGAGCCCAGAUCCUUUUCAUAACACAUUUUACCUUAAAAAAAUACGAUGCUGGAGCAAUUAUACGUUCAAGCAUUUUAUUUGAAACAAUUAUGAGAAGGCGGGCACAGAUUGACCAGAAAUGUUCUAUUCUACAUAGCUCUUGGCAAUAACCAUUUUUACAAUGAUCUUCUUAAUUAAAAUCCCCAAAAGCUUUGAACUAUGAAAUUUGUACAACUCGAGAGAGAGAGAGAGAGAGAGAGAGAGAGAGAGAGAGAGAGGNNNNNNNNNNNNNNNNNNNNGAGAGAGAGAGAGGGCGCCAAGGGAGGGGGGCAAGGAUGAUGUGUUUACCUGGAAGUCGAGCUAUUAUUGUUCCCCAUGGAUCAAUAACCAGAGAAUCGCCAUAGCUCUCUCUUUUCUCAUUGUGCCUUCCAGCUUGAGCCGCAGCUAUAACCUAUAAAAAAGAUAUGAAAGACAUUCAAACACUAAUGAUAUCAUCCACAUUAACUUUAAAAUUAUAAAACGAUUUAGACACUAGUAAUUUGCACGUGAUGUAUUUAAAUCAUCAGACUAUAUUAAAGAUAAACAAUAAAAACCAAAAUGUGUUGUCAGCAUCUAGUAGCUAACUUUUGUUAGCCUCCAUAUCAAGAAUUUAAUGCAAUUUUGGAGAUGUAAAUUUGUUUGAUGCUCGGUUGACUGUUACAUAAAUGAGGGUCGGCAUCAGUGUGUCGUUUCUUACCAGCCCCCACCACUCCAACUUGACUAAAAGAUUACUAAUUAUAUUACAAAGCACCCAUCAGAGCCAGCUGCUUCUCAUUUUCCCAUUUUCUUUCUUUAUCCUUUUCUUCCCUAUGAUUUUACUUCGAUCCCCCUCCAUAUCUUACCGAGUGGCGCAUAAAAAAGGAUUGGUAGAAAGUGUGACAGCUUUCCUCCUUUCUCCCUACUGUAAGUGAUUUUCCUACUGUUCUCGUUUCUCUCAUCUCCAUGCUUGUGAAUCUUUUUCUCUCCUACAUUCCUCCCCUUGUUUACUUUAAAUUUUUGUUCAGAGUCUCAAUGUCAGCCCAAACCUUGACCAACUUUGUUUCCCUAACAAACUUUUAGCCUUGCUGUUCUAUGGUUCUAACCCUUUGAUUCCAUCCAGCAGCCUUUGACACUUCAUGCCCAUAUCAGAAAAACGCCUCCUUCCAUACUAUCAGUUGAACCCUCCAAAGGUUAUAUUUCAUGGAUGUUUUAUUUUAUUCUGUCUUUUUCUUUUUCUUUGUUCCUUGGCAAUUUUUUGAAUGCCAAAAUUGUUGAUAGUGCAUUACUUCAUAUUUAGGUCAGUUUUCUGGUUUCUUUUUUAUUUGUUUGACCAAAAUUUGUUGCAUCGUGGCAUUGCCCCUCUCUGUUCCUUGUGUGUUCUCCAAAAUUGAAUGUCAUGCAAUAUCAACCCUAGGUUGCAUUAAGACUAUGCCCUAUUAGGUAAACAGUACAAUCAUAGCCGUCCAGAUAGCAAUCCCAUGGCCUAUUCAAGUUUGAGUUUUAUGGUGUUGACACUGUUCUCAUUCAUAGGCAUGUCGUAAGAAUAUAAUGGUGCUUCGAACCUUGGGCUAUUGCAACACAUGCAACGUAGAUUAUUAUUGACCUCCAUUAUCUACUUACAAUAAGAUGAUGGAGAUGUAAAUGUUGACUUCUGUAAGUUUGCAUAAUUGUGAAUUUUGAUUAAUCAUGGCACCGAUAGCCGGCAAAAUCUUUGACAAUCAGUAAAUUUUGGCUAGAUUGGCAUUCCAUGUCAAAAAAUGUUAUGAUAUCAAUUUAUCAGGUGUCCUGACUUUGAUAAGGAAGCUAGCACAAAAAGACUAGUAACUAGAGCAGUCCUACAAGAAAGUACUGCGAAAGCUCAGCAAUAGAGUAUCAUGAGUAGGGAUGCUGUGCUAGUGUGUGUCCCAAACAUAAAUGACCGUAGUGAUUAAAGGAUGGCAUGCUUUCCCUGAAAGUCAUAGAGAUCCAAAACUAAACAGCAGUUUUUUAUAGCAACAACAAAAAUAUAACAGAUAGAUAAAAAACCUUAAACCUGAUCCGGACCAUGGUCUGAUGUGCUGUAUUAUGACAGGACAUACCUGGAACCCAGCAUUGGGUUGGAUGGCAUUCUUAAAUCUUUUCUAAGUUUAUUAAUAUAAAAAGGGCUCUAGAGUCUUUUUGUUGGGGGCACCACAUGGCAUGUGCCAUCCAAGGUUAGUGAGUUCAUUGUAAGCAAUAUUAAUUCUAUGCAAAGGAAAAAGAGGACGGAUAUAGCUCAUAAAAUUUGAGUUAUCUAUGAUUGCCAUAUUAAUAUCAGUAUAUGAUUUCUACAAUAAUAUAAACAUGGAUAUCAAUGUUACAGCUCAACUAAAAAUUGAUCUAAAAAUGUUGGAAAUUAAAUGAUUAAGUGAAACUCUGUCAGUUUAACUGAUUUAUCUUAUUAUCUUUAUAGCAAGUUCAAUAAAUUUUACAAUUUUCCAUCCAAUGUUACAUGCGAUAUGAUUCAAUCAUCUUACAAUCUAUAAAAUGCUUCUUAUCUGACCUUCUUUUCAGACACUCAAUUCAUAACUGUUUCCUGACAAAAAUCAUCUUUCUAUUCCUAUCAUUCUACAAAACCAUACAAUUUAUGACUGCUUCAACACCUCAAUAAAGUUUACUUACAUAUAUAAAUUUCAUGCCUUGUUAAUUCUGCCCCACCGUCUACUAGAAUUCUCACCUCUAAUACACUACCACACGUUCAACCUUUCAUCAAGAUGUCAUCAUACUUCUGUCUGAAAAAAUAUCUACUUAGUCAUAUAUUCAGCACACAUGAUCAUGUAAGCAUAUCUUGAUGUGUAAGCUCUGAGCCAUCCAACAGUAGGAAAAGUCAUUUUUGAUUACAUAAUCCACAGGUCCCUUGCACUGGAUAAUUGUUAAUUUGUUUCCAGAAAAGAAAAAGGUGCUGCGCUCUAAUUAGUAACAUAAGAUAAUCAGUGAAAAUUAAAGAGGAUUGAAAGGGUGGUGAAAAACUUUCAACGGGGAACAGGAAAAUUUACAGAUGAAAAAUGUUUAGCAGACAAAAAAGAAUGUCUGGUGUUUCAUAGAAAAUGUCCUUUACUAACUUUUAAAGUAAGCAGAGCAGUUACUAAGAAAAUCAAGUGUUUGGUAAUAUCAUUUGUAAAGUGCUUCUACAAGAGGAAGGCAAAGAACUGCUUUUAGGAGCAGCUAGAAAAACUAGCUUCUAGCUACAUCUGUGAGAUUGCUCCUUGUCUUUCAAAUAUGUAAGCUCAUCCACAAAAAAAGUAGUUCUUGAUAUGUUAUUGUCAAACACCAAAUAUAACAAAAGGUACACUCUAUAUAAGAACUUACAUGAAUAUGAUUCUUGAGAAUGAC